rnacentral:lncRNA from 1 species
GGCGACUCUCUUUUAAUUAAAAAAAUCUUUGUCGAUGGAUUUUCCAUGUACAGUUAUGUAACAUAAAAAUCAAAAACAAUAUAUUUGAUUAACAAAUUAAUACAAACACAUACUCUUUAUGCUUGACUAUCUUUUUAAAUUUGCAACAAAGUAUAUGUAUAACUCUACAAAAGGUUGAAGUUAUAUAUAUGUGGACAUCAUUCCUUACGUCACAUAGAUGACGUAUUGACUAACAAUUCAAUAAUUGCCCUCUAUAAUUCUAUAUAAUCAUGUGGCUGCGCCGCUCUUGUAACUUGUAAGUGCACUCCAGUGCUCCACACUUUAUCUCUAACUUCACCCGCCGGAGUGGCAGCUCGUUGGCCAGAAGAAGGAUGCGGUGUUCGGGGAAGACGGUGGCAAGGGAAGCAAAAGAUCCGGUUCCACCGCGAGGCUCCAUCAUCAAAGAAAUUGUUAAUGACAUACUCACCAGUUGUAGUGGCGGCAAAAACAACAAAGCCCAGGUGUUAGUGCUUUAGCUUUUGCAGAAUCUGAUCCUUAAUUUAUGGAUUCCUCACAUGUACAUACUAUGCAAUAAUUCUUAUGUGAUAAUUACUGAUGUAACCAGAUCUGCUUGGUGAGGAAUUUGUCUGAACUUUGAUGUUGAUCUAGUUCUUAUUAUUCAAACUGAGCUUCAGUUUCUUGUAUUUGAAAGAAAAUCCCGACCCCUUAUAUCAUCAAGUUUAUUUUUGGAAGAAACAUCGAACAAUAUUCAUCAAAUUUAUUAGCUUUUGUUUCUUAACAUUAGAUUUUAUUUUUGUGUCGUUAUAAUCUAUCAACACACUAAAUGUGUUAAUAUUUUCUGUGUAGUUUUACAUGAAUAAAGAUGGAACAUAAUGCAAGUUUCUGCUUUUCUGACCAUAUUCCGUUCAAAGUAUUGUUAUAAAUUAUGAUGACCAUCAACUUUUUUUAACACCCAAUAAAGUAAAAAACGUCUUUUUGGCAUAUUUCUUAGUUACUCUAAUAUAUAUAUAUAUANNNNNNNNNNNNNNNNNNNNNNNNNNNNNNNNNNNNNNNNNNNNNNNNNNNNNNNNNNNNNNNNNNNNNNNNNNNNNNNNNNNNNNNNNNNNNNNNNNNNNNNNNNNNNNNNNNNNNNNNNNNNNNNNNNNNNNNNNNNNNNNNNNNNNNNNNNNNNNNNNNNNNNNNNNNNNNNNNNNNNNNNNNNNNNNNNNAUAAUAUUUUAAUAUAAUAAUUAUAAUAAAUAUAUUAAUAAAUUAAAACUUAUUAGUUUAUUUUGUUUAUUUAUUUAAAUUAUUUGUUUAAAUUUAAAUGAUAAAAAACAUUUAAAUUUUAAUAAUUCAUUAUUUUUUUUAGUUUUUUUUUUUUAUAAAUUUAAAGCUCUCAAAUAUUUAGACUUUUAUAUUUAAUUUUUUUAAUUAACCUAUAUAAUAUAUGAGUCUCAUAACUAAUAUAAAAAUAAAAAAGGGUUUUCAUUUUGAAUAUUAGCUAAAUAUAAAAUAUUAUUGAAUUUUAUUCUAUUAUUUAUAAAUUAAGUUUAGUUGAUAUUUUAUAUUUGCUUGAUUUCAAAUAUUCGAUUUAAUUGGAUCCCGAUGGACAUCACACAUUUAUUUCAAGAACAUUCAAUGCUUAACUCAUUCUUUAAUUAGAAAACGAUUGAAUUGAUACAUAGGUCAUACUUCAAAAAAAAAUCCAUUUAUAAAUGAAAUUUUAAAUGAAUUUAAUCCAUAUAUAACGAUUUACAAAAAUUAUUUAUACAACAUAAAAUCAUAUACACAACGAGUUAUUAACAUACCUAGAUAGUAUGAAACGGUUUAUAUAAAAUUAUUUAAACAACAUAAAUCACGACUUGAAUUUCUAGAUCAAAUUCAAAUUUUGCGCAAACUAAACAUUGAUUACGACGAACACUAGUUUUCUCAUUUCUAAUAACUAUGGUGUAAUCUUUAAUUUUAUAAACAACGUUUGUCGACAUGUUUUCCACUAUGUAUGAUGCAACAAAUCAUGUAGUUACCGUUAUCACUCACAUAUGAUGCCUAUUAAACUAACAGGGUAUAUAAUACAUACUAAUUUGCAACUUUGAGGUAACUACAUAUCAAUAUACACCACACAAUAAUUGUAACAUUCAUAGCGUUGAAUUAUCUGAUAAUAAUUAAAGCUAUGUUUGUACAAUUUGAUAAGUAGCUCAUACAAUGAUCGAGUUCUACACUUGUACAAUAACAAGUUCUACACUUGUAGUUGUUAUUUUUGUCUUUGCUUAACAAAAAUAGUUAUUAUGUGUUUAGAUAACUUAUCGUAUUGACACUACUAUAUAAAAGUUUUGUAUGCAUAUCAAUUGUUUGAUAAAAUGACUUAUUAAGACAAAAUGUGAUUUUUAGUUUGUUUGUUUUUGGAGUUUUGGAACAUUUUACAAAGAAAUAAAGUCUAACUUUUGGAAGGAACGUUAGAUUUUUGUGAAAAUGAUCCAAAAUGGCAACUAAUAACAUAAAUUUUACCCAUUAGGUCAAUGAAGUCUUAAUUUCACCAAAUAAGAAAAAAGACUUUUAAUUUUGGUUUUAAAGUACCAUUGUCACUGAUUUUAACCGGUUACACCCACUUUUAAUGAUAGGGCCAUAUAUGUUUCAAGAAAACCCCAGAGACCUGAGCCAUAAUUUUGUGCUCAUAAUCAAAUCAAGUACACACCAAAUAUAGUUAUGAGCUUAGACACCUAAUCCAACAGUCUCACACUUGAAUAAGUCUAAUAACUAUUAUUGCAAGUAUGAAUUCAGAAUCUGACUAGCAAUCAUAGCUUUCAAAAGCCGUUGUUGAACUCUGAUCUUAUCAAUAACGUGUCCUUUAGAUAAGUGAUCAAAUAUUCCUCUGUUCUACAAGAUAUCGUAUGGACAUGAGAAUCAUUCUCUCUGCCUAAUAUUUGUUUUCCGACUUCUGAUUUAUGACGACUGACUCAUACUAUAAUUGAACACAUCAACUUAGUCCAGCUUGGCCAAAUGCUUAGGGUGUUAACACUAAAUCGUCUAGGGGCCCACAAAUAUCGUUUUUAUCCCAUCUAGGGUAAAAUGAACGGAUAAACUUCGACUCAUAUGCUUGUACUAUUUACUCGUCAAAUCACACACAACAAUCCGUUUUAUAACAUCAAGUUACUGAUGCGUUUACGUAUUAUCAAUGCACAAACGACUUGUAAACAACAACUAUAUGUCUCCGUUUCAAGAGUAUAAGAUAUUAUCGUCUCACAUUCACUCGUGAUAAAAUCCAUGAAGUGAUUCAAAUGAGUGUGGGUUUAAUGCAAUACUUAAAUUCCUAUUUCAGGAGUACUCAUGAACACUGCAUCAAACAUUUGCUAUGUAUAAGCACGUAGACAAUCUACAGUCGGAUUCAUGAUAGUUUUACCUCAUUACUUACUUCCAAAGUGUGAUCGACUGUAGAUGUUUGAAUAACCUAGUUAUUCGAGAAGUAAAACAUGCAAAGUGAAACACAAGAGUAAUCUAACCCAAUAUGGUCUAAAUUUUUUUGAAUAUAGAUAAAACACUUAUUAUUUAAUCACCAUAUUAAUUAAACCUUAUUGAUUGUUUACUGUUUCGAGUAAUCAAGUCAAUACUUGAAUUAAAACAAUAGUCAUCCCGUGCUCCAAGCAUGCACACUAUGUUUAUCUAUGGUCCUUCCUUUGUGAAAUUUAUUGAACACAUUACUAAUGAUGCUCAUUUCAUAAUUCCCUAAUCCUUAUAAGUGUAAAAAUACAAAAUUCUUUCCACUAAUAAAAUGUGUUAGAGUCUAACCUUUCAUGCAAUGAUCUUCCUUUUGUAAUGUCGAGGCUCCAAAGUCACAGAGACUUAACCAAUGAUAUUACAAAACGUUCCAUUGGAGAUUGGUACAAGACAAUUCCCGAAAACGAAGUCUCACAUUCAAGGUACAUUCCUUGAACAUCCUUCUUGCACAAAAGUUUCUAACUUACACAUAGAUUCUUAACAUCCAACUCCCAUUAUGAAAAUAUUUCCAUAAUUUCCAUAUGACUAUCCAUUCUCAAUAGAAUCCUAUCUAUUCAGAAUUAUAUCAACAUGGUCCAUCUAUUACUAUACUUCAAAUUGUUUACAAGCAACCAAUCUUUAGCAAACAUUAGAUUGUCCUUGACAGUUGUUUAACAACUUUAGUCAUAUCCGGUUCUGGUCCCUUUUCCCUUUUAAUGCGCUAGGCAUUUAGAAAAAUCAGAACAUGCAAAUAUUAUAGCAUAUGCAAUCGAUCCUAUACUCAAAGCAUAUGGGAUACGAUUCAUAAUAAAGACAUGAUACUAGACCAGUCUCUUGCUAUAAUAUUUCCAUAUAUAGAAUUUCCUAUGUUGAAACAUUUCAACAUGAAAUUCAUAUAUUCUCAUGACUAAGUUCCAUUAAAAUUUCAAUAUAAGCUAUUAGAUUCGGAAUCAAGUAUUAGUGCUCUCUCCCUUAAGUCUUACUAUGGCGAAAUAAUUUCCAAAUUCUACAACUUUGCAAAUUUAGAACUUUCUUUCCUAUAAUCAGCAUGCUAAUCUUGCAUCACUUAACAUAAUAAUCACGCUCCCACUAGCAUAGCAAUUAUGUUAUUAUCAGCAUAACAAUUAUGUUCCCACUAGCUUUGACAUGUACUUAAAAAUCUGGUGGACUUCUAGAAAUCAAUACCUAUUGACUUUCUUACCAAAGUUCAAAUUUCUGAUACGUGGUGCUUCGAUAAGUCUUUAUCUAGACUUCUCAAGCUCAUACACCUUUCAUUAGACAGCUUAUGUGUGCGUCUAAUCCUUUUUCAGAACUUAUAGCAAUAAGUCUCGAAUGUUCAAACUAAUUGCCAUUUCUCACAAUUCGAACUAUGAAUAGGGAUGUCGUAAUCAUACUCAAAUUUGAGAAUGCAAUUAUCACAACUGCUAACUUUAAUCCUUUAAAAUCUACAAGUGAAAGCGUUUCCUCACAAUCAUUCUCAUGAAGUAGAGAGAAAUCUAUUGCCACUUAGAUUUUAUGAUGUAUCUGUUCCUAUCCAUGUGAACUUGUCAUUUUGAACCACUAUCAUAAGAUAAAGCUUCUGACAAAUUAAACUCAUAUGGACUGAACCUGUUUAUUCUUAAUUUCUUGCCAUCCGACAGCACAUAAGGGCCUACCAGUUCUUCCAGGUUAUUGAGCAGCUCACCUACACUGAUCAAGAUGCUUUGCCUUAUGAGAACUCAUAAAACUCACAUGCAUAGUUAAUUUAACUGGAAUAGGCACUAAACUAAGAAUAUGUCAACAUGAUAAGUUGUUAACCUCAGGUCGUGUGCUAGUGAUAACUAGAAGGUUUAUUCUUGUUUAGUUCUUGAAACUAUUCAAGACCAUAAAGACUCCCACUGACCUCUUGACAUAUAAGAUUCUCUGUCAAAGAACAUUUCUCAACAAGCAAAUAUUCAGGAGUUAGUGUGGGUUCUUACCAAUAAACACUUCAUAUAAUUGGUCUUAGUUGGUCUUUGUUUUAGCCAAAAACAUCACAACUACCAAUUUCAAAUGUGAAAGAGUAAGAAACAUUUCUACUCCAUAUUUCAUGAGGUGUUGUAAACCUAUUUAGAACAUGUUACUCAAGGUAGUUUCUAGAGUAUGACUCUAAAAUUUGAUCUUGGAACAAAGUGUGACUCAUCUUCUUGAUUUAACCAUUUCAACAAUUUAUGAUACCCCUUCUUAGUCAUGUAAAUGCACUAAGGUGUCCUUAGAGGAUCAAUUAUGACAUGGUUCCAUAAUCAUUAGGAUGAUCAUGAAACAUGAUACUAAAGUACUCUCAUUUCCUUUCAUAUUGGAGAAACUUUUAUCUUUCUACCUAAUUGAUUCUUUUUACUUGUUCUGCUAUACUUUGAAACUUUUCAAGGUAUUAGAAUUAUACUUAAUUUUGUAAGUGUAAUCAUAUUUACUGAACCAUUAGUAAAUCAUGACGAAUAGCCAUUAUUAUCCUUUGUGGUUAUCUGACCAGUCCAUAUCAAUGUGUACUAGAUCCUUCAGUCUUUCACUUGACUCACAUAUACAUGUGAACAAGGAAUUAGUCUCAAUUUCCUAAAGAUCAAGAUUCUCAUACAUCACAUAAUUCAACGUUCCAGGUUCUGUCCAAUUGAAACUUGGGUGAAGAGAAUCCUUCCUCACUUGGUAAAUUAAGAAACUACCACGAAGGAUAUAACUAAGAAUCAAAUCCAUUUUCAAUAUUGCUAACAAUAGAAAUAUAAACACCAACUUUCACACAUGCCAUUGCAAGGAAACAUAAAAUAAGAUAAAAUCAAAAAUUUAUUUAUUGAUAAAGUGCAAAAAAAACUUGUCCUUACAACGAAAAUAUAAAUGAAAACUGUGUUUCUAGAUAUUCCUAAGUAACCUAUUAUAACUCCUAAGCAACAGCUCAAAAAUCCGAUCAUCAAAACACAUGAUUAAAAUCCAUUUCUCACGAUCAAAUUCAGCUUGCUUCUUCUUUAAGCUUCCUUCCUUUUCUUCGAUCCUACAAAACAUCAAAAUGUAAUCUUAUCACAUCAUGUAUUAAGAAUCUAUAAAUAGGAACUCAAUAGUGGAUAUACCUGAAGUAGAGUCAUAUGAUUUGGCUUUACUAUCCUUGCGAUCUUUCAGGUAGAUAUGGAAGCUUCGCAUCCAAUGCCUCUUCUCUUGGAAAUAGAAACAUAUGGACUAGCUUCACAUCCAAUUCCCCUUCUCUUGGCAAUAGAAACAUAUGGACUCUUUGGGAAUGACACAUGGGACUAUGUCAGAAUUUUCCUUUCUCUUAUGAUCAAACUUUUCGACCAUGGCCGAUUUCUCUCCCUUGGGAGGAGAAGCCAUUUCCAGACUAUCACCUUUGCCAUCACCAAUGCUCAUGGAAAUUUGAGAGGUAGAUCUUCCAGACAAAUCUGCUUGACAGGUGCACCAAAGCAUUGCUGCUUCAAAAAUAAUUAGCAAAUAAGUCAGAUCAAUAAGGGUCACGUUGUGAUCUUUCAUAUAGUAGUCUUUAACAAACUGACCAUAUGACCCGGGAAGUGACUCAAGAACCUAGUCAACUUCCAGCUCCUUUGGGAAAACGACACCCAACAUUCCCAGUCUUUCAAGGUGUGACUUCAUGUUUAGAAUAUGUGCGUAUAUAGAGUUUCCAUCUUCAUGCUUGCAUGCUAAUAGGGCUUGAGUAACCUUGAACUUUUCAAGUUGACGAAAUGUGGGCCAAGGACAAUCACUAGAGGAGGUGGAGGAAGAGAAGUAUGAUUUCCAGUUCCACCUUUUCACGAAGUAGGGAUCGAUCUUUCACCUUGAUCGCCAUGUGGAAUAUCAUCUUCAAAAAGAAAGCCUUUUCCAAAGGAUUGAGGAAGGCUAUAGUUGUCAGAACUAGAUAUCUACAAAGGGAGAAAAUUCAAGUUAGUUGAUUUAAGUCCUUAACAUAACAUCCAAAUGAAAUAUUAAGGCUAGGACCUAACACAAUAAUUCACAAUUCGGAUGAGGGAUUCCAUAAUCCAAUUGCAAAUUAUUUGAAGGUAGGUAAAUGACGAUUUACCAAUUCCAUCACGAAAAUGAAAUUUUAAACGAAUUAGGUUUUAAAUGAAAUUCUUAGAUCUUUACGAUUCAUUGAACUUUUCAAUGGCAUGUUUAAUCUAGAUUAUGCCCUUCAAGUUUGUGACUGGGAUACCGAGGAUCACAAACAAGGUGUGAAUAACCAUGCAAAUUAGCUUGGUACACUCGAUGUCAUUUAUCACCUAAUCAAUGUGCCGGUUAACCACACACGAUCCAUUGAUCAACGAUAAUUUAAGAGAAACCCAUUGCCAUCCUUCAUUAGUCCCUAUUAGUGUGCCGAUUAACCACACACGCUCCAUUAACUGACCAAUAAGGUUCAAUGUGCAACUUCAUGGGUUAACAUCAACUUCACAUUUUCCUAGAGUAACUAAGACUUGGGAAUUUAUAAAAGCAUUUAGUUAAUUUAUAAUUCAUUAUACUUUUAAUGAGAAUUUAGUGUCCUAUCCUACCCGUUUGGCUAACGACCCUCCACUAGUCAGGGGUGCAGUGGAUAAGAUUGGAUACCCAAUGGCGGUCAUUUUACAAGCCGCUUCCUUAAACACCCCUUACAAACCAGCUUCAUGAAUGAGACCUACUAACGGUAAGACUGACCUUUUCUUAUACAUAUAUAUAAAUUAAACCUUUAAUAUUAUAAUAGUAUAAGGGUGUAUGUUAAACUUUCAAAAUACUAGGGUUUUAGAAUUCAAUAUCUCAAAAUUAAAACUUUUAAUCAAGUUUUAAAUUCCAAAACUUGAGGGCAAUUUUGAAAGUUUUCAAAACCUCUAGAUCAAAUUUAAAACAAUUAAAUUAAUCAUAUGAUUUUAUCUUUAUCAUAAAUUUGACAUUUUCUUUUAUUUGGGAAGAAAAUUCAAAUCAAAAUUUACAAAUAAUUAAUUUAUCACAAAAUUUCAUAAUUAUCUUAAAAUUUGACAAUUAUCUUUCAGUUAGAUGAGUAUAUUCUUUACCAUAUCAGAAAAUUCAAAUGUAAUAAGUAAAAACAACUUUUGGUAAUUAUCUGAAUCUAAUCUAGGCCAAAAAAUCGAAAAAUCUGUCAAUAGAUGAGUCGCCACGUCGUGUCAUGCCAUAACACGUCGUGUACAACUAUAAACACAUCGUGUUCAUCAGGCAGAGUCCAAAAACGAUUUUCUUCCAGCUUUGCACAAAUCACAAAUGCAUCAAAUAUAACAGAAAAACACCCUAGGCUCUGAUAUCACUGAUGAGUUUUGAGCAUUACAACAUUCCUAUGGUGCACAUGCAACCUUAAUGCUUUCGAUCUAGAUUUUUUUAAAGUUAUACAUGCAAAUAAAUUAUCUUAAGAAAAACCCUAGAUAUAGCAUACAUAAUUUCGAUAUUCAUAUAUAUAAAAGGGUUGGAAGAUUACCUCACUUGUUAUAUUGUAAUAACAUGAACAAUCCUUGACUCUUGAAAGCAUAGUGCCCCAAGUGUUGCACCUCUAAUGGAGUCACAAACACCAAAUCCAAAGAAUGACUUGGAGAGAUGAUGAAAUCGGCCAGGUUCUUUUACAAUCAUGUAGGGGCCGAAAUCCUUAGGGUUCAAGGGGUUUUAUAUGGCUAGGUUGCUUAGUCUUGAAGUUGGACUUGAAUAAGGAAACCCUAGUUCAUAACUUAAGCCCAAAGCAACCCAUGGACUUCCAUAAGAUGCCUUGGACCAAAUCUUAUAAGCCCAAGCUAUAAAUUUCGUCCACUACCAUCAAGAAGCCCCUAGGCCUAGUUUCAUAACUAUCAAUGAUUUGCAAAACAACCCCUUCAUUAUUAAUUAGUUCCUUUAAUCCUAAAAUUAAUACCAAAUUAAUUUUUGAUUAAUUACUAAUUAAUAAUAUGGUUUCCAGAUAAUAUAUUAAUCUUAUAAUAUAUUAAUAAAAUUAUUUUGAGUACCAAUUUAUUAUUCAUAUAAUAAAUCCUACUCUCUCUCUCUCUCUCUCUCUCUCUCUCUCUCUCUCUCUUUCUCUCUCGACUGGUCAUCCCGUCAAGUUUCAUGAGUGAAGGCAACCCAAAAGGACCAUGCUCAUAAUCAGAUCAAGUACACACCAAAUAUAGUUAUGGGCUUAGACACCUAAUCCAAUGGGUCUUAGAAUAGAUCGAGAUGUCAUCAAUAAACACAAUCACAGAACCUCGGCUUGCAUACGCGGUUAAUGAGGUCCAUGAACGCGGUUGGGGAAUUGGUAAGCCCGAAGGGCAUCACCACGAACUCGUAAUGACCAUAAAGAGUCCAAAAGGCCGUCUUCUGUACAUCCUCCUCCGUGAAACUCAUCUGAUGAUAAACCGAAUGCAAAUCAAUCUUGGAAAACCAAGAUGCACCCUAAAGCUGGUCAAACAAAUCAUCAAUCAUCGGGAGUGGGUAAUGGUUCUUUACUGUUAGCUUAUUCAGCUCCCGAUAAUCAAUACACAUCCGAUGAGAUCCAUCCUUCUUCUUCAUAAAUAGGAUCGGUGCGCCCCAUUGCGAACUGCUCGGAUGAAUGAACCCCUUGUCUAACAAAUCCUACAGCUGUGUAGACAACUCUUACCUCUCUGGAGGAGCUAACUGGUACAAUGCCUUGGCUAUCGGAGCCGCACCCGGAACCAAGUCAAUCCUGAACUUCACCCGCCUCUCAGGAGGCACCCUAGGUAAACCCUCUAGAAACACAUCUGGGUACUCCCGCACAACCAACACAUCAUCCGCAGUCGCCUUACCUUUAUCAUGGGUAUCCAUAACAUAGGCGACAUAUCUAGAACAACCAUGAUGAAGAUAUCGUCUGGCCCUAGCUGUUGAACAUAGAAUCGGCCCAUGUUGAGCUCUCUCUCCCUAAACUACUAACUCUCCCCCACUUGGGGUCCGAAUACGUACUAACUGAUGUUCACAAUUGAUCAACGCCCCAUUGGGGCUCAACCAGUCCAUCCCUACAUUAACUUUACUCCAGUACAGAGGAAUAGGGACCAAGUCGAUUGGAAACUGCUCACUGAACAUCUCUAGACUAUAAUCUCGAUGAUCCCUCAAUGUUUGAACUGAUUGAUCAUCUGCAAUAUCAACCUAUAAUGGAAAAUCUAGCUCCCCUGGAGCUCCAAUAAACCGCUUGAUGAGCGCAAGAGAUACAAAAGAUUGGGUAGCCUCGAAUCAAACAAUUCCAAGGCAGAAAUACUGUUCAUAAGGAACGAUCCUAAAAUAAAACACACAAAUGCAAUUCAAUAUAAAUAAAGAGAUAAAAAAAGAUACAUACAUGUUACCACAUCAGGUGUUGUGCGAGCCUCCUCGAAUGUCAGCUGAAAAUCCCAGCUCUUCACCAUAGGUGCAUCCUCCUUGCCUUGGCGGCCACCAAUAUUACGAAGAGUUGCUAGAGCGGGUGCUACCAUCGGUCCUGAUGCUGCCAAAUUCAAACAAUAGGCCUUCUUGUGUCCCCUUUGAUUGCAAUGGAAGCAAAUAACUUAAGAAACUAGGUUCGUGGUGGUAGUAGUAGUACAAUCCCUGCUAAUAUGACCCAUUCGACCGCGCUUGAAACAACCAUAACCACCCACCCUACACGCCCAUUGUACGUCUUGUCGCACUUGCCACAACGGCUCCGACCCUACUGGCUUCUUGAUAUCGAAUCUAAUACCUUGGGCUUCUUGCCAAACCCCUUGAAACUUGAGCCUGAUCCGACUUCCUCUUCCUCUCCAUCUCCAAAUCAAUCUUACACACUCUAACUAGCCCUCACAAUUAUAUCCUCUAGUGUCUUGAAAUUGUACCGACUCACAAAUUGUCGAAUAUCAGUCCUCAGAAUCUCAUGGUAUCUCGCCUUCUUCAACUCCUUCUCCGCCACAUAUUGUUGAACCAACAACACCCUCUCACGGAACAUCGCAGUGAUCUCAACCGUCAUCUCAAUAGUAUGGCGAAUGUCCUGGAACUCCCUCACCAACUGCUGCACCUCAAUUAAUGGCACUAACUCAGCUUAGAAUCUAUUCACAAAAUCAUCCCAUGUAAUCGAAUCAACCGCCUCAUCAAUCAAGGAGCGCCCAACCUCCUCCCACGAGUCUCAAGCUCUGUCUUUCACAAGACAUGAAGCAAGUCUGACAUUUGCCCCUUUGGGACAACUACUGGUGCAGAAUGUGUUAGCGACAUCCGCUAACCAUAUCCUACUCGUGAUCAGGUCCUUCUCCCCGAAGUACUUUGGAUACAUGUAGGCCUAUACUCUCUAAAAGUCAACGAAUGUGCCCCAAUCAAAGCCACCAUCUUAGAACAGAAAGAGCCCAAGCGCUCCUCUAACACCUACAUGACACCCUCAUUGAUCGUACCACAGAUUACAGGAGUCUGCUCAAGUAUGCUGCGGGUAAUCUCAGACGAAAUGAACUCCCACGUCUGAUGUGACAUCCCCAAAAUCUCGGCCAGAAAAGACCGAUUUUCAUUUAUGCUUUUAAAUAUUUUCAGAGUAAAUCCUUUUGAUUUGAAAGAGUUGCGGAAUUUGUUCCCAAAAACAAAACAUGAUAAAACAUUGUUUACCGAAGCAUUUCAUAAAAGAAAUGUAUUUUCAUUAUAAUCAAAACUCGGGGUGUCAUGUUCCGAUACAGACCAAUAAGCAUAAACGAAUACAUUACAAGUCAUUAAACAAAUAUAAACAUAUGCAGACUUGUAAACAAAACAACUUGAUGGUUCAUCCAUCUCAUGCCCUUCCGCCACUACCUGUAAUACAAUUUAAAACUGAGUGGGUCAGGCUUGGGAGCCUGGUGAGCAUAUAGGGUUUUCAACCCACAAUAAAUAUCAUAUUUAAUUUUCACCAACCAACAAUAACCCAAUUACCCAUUCCCGUUAUUCUCACUUUAAUGUCCCUAAAACAACUAACAUAAGGGACCUAGUCUAAGAAUAUUUCAUCGGGGCGACAACACAUGCUUCGGGGGUACCUCAGCAAUAUAAGUCAAAUAAGGCAACCAUGAGGGGGAUGGAGUACAGCGAAUGAACACCCAAGUUCAUUAACACCUACAGGUGGCGAACCUGCUAAUGUUUCCACAAGACUGUCUAGAAUAGCCAGUGGUCGUCAUCUAAACUCCGCUAGAUGACUCAAUCAAACAACAACGAGGCCUCUCAUCUGUUUAUUACACACCAACUGUCUACCCAUGUUCUACCCAACAUAUUAGUAGAUAAAAAUAUACAUUUGUAUACAUAGUUUAAAGAAAACCUGUAUAGCAUGCUUUAAUCAACACAUAUAUCACAUAACAGAUGAGGCACACACACACAUAACACAUAUCUCAUAAAGAAAUAAGCAGAUCUAUAAGAUAGAAGAGAGUGAAUACUCAUUCACACAUAACACAACCAAAUAUAUACACAUAGCACGUAUUUUUAUAUAAAAUACUUCGUAUUAUUGUAUUAGAAGAAAUAACUACACACUCACUUGAUCAGAAGAUGAUCGGACAGCACUACGGCUUAUAGAAGUAGUAAUCCACAGCAGAUCUGGAAGAUCUCCUCGAAAAUCGAACUUCUCGCGGGCAGAGCUUCGACUCGGGAACCGCACUUCUCGGGAUCUUCGGGAUCUCGGGACUUGCCUCGGGGCUAGAGUAUGAUACCGGGGCUUCGGGAUAGCUUCGGCACGAAAAACGAUGCAAAAGACUAGAGAGAAGAGAAGAAAAUGAACAAGACAUAAGGCUGUCUUCGGAUUCCUUAUAUAGAGGCUGGAGCCUCGGAGUACGCGGGGCGUACAGGCGUACGCAGCGCGUACGCGUCCGAAAUCGUCACUGCAUGCGUCAUCCGAAGUGUCGACACUAUGCUGAGUACGCGGUAGCGUAACCUCGUACGCGGGGCGUACUCCGGAUCACACCGGUGACUCGGCUUCGGAUAAUGCUUCCGAUUUUGAAUUAAAAAUAAAUAUAAAAUGAUUAAUAAACUUCGGAAAUUCAUAACUUCUUCAUACGAACUCCGUUUUCGACGUUCUUUAUAUCCACGCGAAGGUGAGACCACGCUCUACGACUUUCGUUUAGACUCCGUCGGCUAAUUUUGACUUUAUUUUUAUUAAUUAUUUUUAAUAGGCCGGGACAGAAACUUUCGUUAUAAAUUCAUAACUUCUUCGUUUGACGUCCGUUCUCGCCUAACUUUUUAUCGUUUCAAUACCAACAAUGAGAUCUUCGAUUCUCAUUUAGAUUGCUUCGGCUAACAACCGCUCGAUCUCAAAUCGAGUAAAACAGGCUGUAUAUCGCUAAGCCGGAACUUCGAUAAAUCAUAACUUCCUCAUACGAAGUCAGAUUUGGGCGUUCUAUAUAUAUUCGGAAACCUCGUUUCAAAUACUACAACACUAACCAAAGAUAUUAAGUUUAUUUUACACUUAAAUUUUGACGCUUAUUUUAUUCUUAAUUAAUCAAACCACAUAAUUAAGCAAUUAAGCACAAAACACAUAAUACUCAAAUAAUACAAUCUUUAUUAUUUCAAAACGGGUUACAGAGGUUAACUUAGACUAUUACAUUGCUACAAAUGGCAAGCCCGAAACACAGGCGUUACAUCUGAUCAUCCAACUGCCUGGUUCCAAAAUGUAACGCCCGCAGAUUCGGGCUAGUCAAUUUAGAGACAGUAAGCGUCGAAUCUGAAUUUUUGAUGGAAGAUUAUUUACAAUAAAUAAUCUUUUCUAAGAUAUAGUAUAUGUCACAAGGGUUCCAUACAUAUAAAGAACGUUGAAAUCUGAGUUAUAAUGAAGAACUUAUGACCCGUUGAAGUUUUACGACAAAACCGACACGACACCGGAAAUCGUAAAAAGUGAGUUUGCGAUAUAAUAGUUUUUAGAUUUAGCAAUCUAAUAAAAUGUCAUAGUAGACGUUAAACGGAGAACGUGCAUAAAAAGAACAUCCAAAUCUGACUUUGUAUGAGGAAGUUUUGAUUUUUCUAAGAUUUAGCCUAGUAGUGUACAACUCGGAAAUCGGAUUUUAGAUCGAUCGAUUUUUUGCCGACACAACCUAAAUGAGAAUUUAAUAUAUCAUUAAUAGGAUGUCAAUGAUAAAAAGAUAGUCGAAAACGGAGUCGGUAUGUAGAAGUUAUGAAUUUUAUACGGUCGUUAAACAGUGUAAUCUUCUCCACUAUUAAAUUUAAAAUCGGUCGAGACUUAGCCAAUGGAGUCAAAAGAAGAGUUGUAGAUAUUGUCAAUACCUACACAUGGACAUAAAGAACGUAAAAAACAGAGCUCAUAUGAGAAAGUUACGAAUUUUAGAAGAUAAUUAGUUUUUGGAGUAAUCUGCGAGUGACAUAUGGCACAAUCCUGACCAUUGCUUACUCCCCAUGCCAUGCCACCAGAUGGUGACAUGUGGCACACCAACACGAGGAGUUAGAGGCCCAGAACUUGCCGAGUUGAGCCAAUUUCCAGUCUACAAAUAGCAUGCAAGGUUCUCACAUUUUCUUCACAUCUCAACCCUUUUUUUUUCUCUCUCUCUAACUUCUCUCUAAACCCAUCCCAACCCUUAGUACUUUCCAAAUGCUAAGAGGUGAGUCCCGGAGUACCAGAAUGCUCCGAUAAGAAGAGAUUUCGGCUUGGAAGUUCUGCCACUACUGAGCUCGGUUCCUAGCCAAACCUCCUAGUAAGUGAGUUAUGCUUCCCCUACUUUAAGUAUAACUUAUGUUUAAGUUCAAUAUCAUUAUUAUGAACUUAUAAAAAAUAUAUAUAUUAUAAAAUAUAAUAUACAAAAUGUAUUAUAAUAUCUUUUAACUACUCGCGGUACGGGGAAUCUGGUUUGAAGGGCCGCAUAGGGUUGUUGGAUUUCAGAAGUGUUAUAAUGCAACAUGUGUUGGGUUUUGAGUACUAUAACACUCCUAUGGUGCACAUUCAACCCUAGAUGCUUUGGAUCUAAGUUUUCUCUAAUUAUACAUGAAAUUCCUAAUUUCCAAAGCAUACAUCCUAACUAGCAUGCAAUUGAAGAUAUACAACAUAAAACCAAGUUAGAUGAAUACCUCUUGAUGUAGCUCGUAGUUCUUGGCCUUUAAAAGCUUUAGAACCUCAAAUGUGAUGCCUCUAAUGUGUCACAAACACCAAAUGCAAAAGGAGGCUUAUGAGAACUGGCUAGAUAGCACCAAUAUCGGUUAUGAUUCUUCACAAGAAUACAUUGGCCGAUUUUACGGGUUAAGGGGAUGCUUUUAUAGUGUGGCAAAGACUAGGGUUACAUCCAUGCAAACCGUAACUCACCAUGACCCUUCAUAUUUCUUAGGCCCUUUGGGUUUAAACCUUCAUGGACUAUCAUAUAGGUUUAGCCUAUCCUAAUCAACCAUGGAUCACUAACCCAAACUAUAAGUAUUACUGAUUUACUUAAUGAGUCCCUGUAAAUUUAAUUAGUCUCUUUUGAUCACUAAAUUAAUUCAAAAUGUCAAUUACAUUUUAGCUAUUACAACUCCUUUUAUUCAAUCAUCAAAUGUCAAUUACAUUUUAGCUAUUACAAGUUUCUAAAUAUUUAUCUAAUCACUAAAAGUAAUAUCGUCCUUCAGCAUGAUACUCUUAGCAUGCUGCAAGUGCUUAACCCUACUUAGUCCUUUCGUAUGGGGAUCUGCUAGGUUAUCCUCUGACGAUACCCUCUUUACUACGAGGAGUCCUUCUUCUACUCGAUGUCUUAUGAAGUGGUAUUUUCUGUCGAUAUGCUUGGAUCUUCCAUGAUGUCUCGGUUCCUUGGGUAAGGCGACUACUCCUUCAUAAUUGCAUAAAAUAUCUAAAGGCUCCUUUAUGGAUAGUACAACUCCAAGGUCUCUGAUAAAGUUUUUCAAUCAUAUCGCCUCCUUCGAUGCUUCACUCGCUGGUAUGUACUCUGAUUCGCACGUUGAAUCAGCUACAAUCUCCUUCUUGGAACUUUUCCAUGUUACUUGUCACAUCCCUAUUUUCACGGCCAGAAAAGACCGAAUAUGCUUAUGCUUUGUUUGAAAAUCAGAGUAACAUGUUAAAUAAAAGUGUUGCGGAAUUUGUUCCCAAAAUAAAAUAUGAUAAGGAUUUAUCAAAGCAUUUCCAAAGAAAUGUUUUUCAUUAAAAACCCCGGGAUGUCACGUUCGUUACAUAUCAAAAGCAUAAAUAGUACAAUAUAAGCCUUACUACAUUUAUUCAUAUCUACAGGCCUAUAUCCGUAAACUCUCAUCCCGAACAUCAUAUCUAUGCUCGUACGCCAGUACCUGUAAUACAAGAAACUAAGUGGGUCAGACUUGGGAGCCUGGUGUGCACAUCGGGUUUUCAACCCACAAUAAAUAAGUUUAUUAACUUCAUCAAACCAAUCAAACUCGAUUACUCGUUCCCGUUAUCCUCACUUUACGUCCCUAAAACAUCUAACAUAAGGGACCUAGUUUAAGGACUUUCAUUGGGGUGACAACACUACUUCGGGGAUUCCUCAGCAAUUUAUGUGAAAUAAGGAAACCAUGUGGGCGAUGGAGUACUGCUGGUGAGCACACAGUUCAAAUAAACAUCUACAGGUUGCGAGUCUGCUAGCAUUCCACUGGACUGUCUAGAAUAGUCCGUGGUCGUCGUCUGUACUCCACUAGAUGACUAGAUCAUCAAUGACAUCGAGGCCUCUCGUUAUUUUAUUUUAUCACACAACAACUAUUACAUCUACCCAUGUUUUACCCAACAUAUUUUGUAGAUAUAAAAUACAUAUACAGUUUAAAUCAUUUAAAACAUGUAUAACAUCAUUCAUCCAGCGUAGAUAGCAAGUAUACAGAUAAUAUGCACACAUAACAAGUAAUUUAUAUAAAAUACUUCAUAUUUAUGUGUAAGAUUAAAGUAACUAUGCACUCACUUGUUAAGGUGGCGAUUCUGAACUCAGACGGUGCUUCGUUACUCUUAAAAGAAUUUCCUUCGAUAAAACCUAAUAUCAUUAUCACUAGGGUUUAGUCUAAUAUUCACCGAGACUAAUUAAUAGUCUUGCUAUUUUUACUAUUAUAUAAGCGUUAAACAAUACUCUUCACCCACUAUGUACAGAAAGGGGUCAGACAUAAAACACCGGAGGGCAGGACUAUUUUGGCGUAUAGCACUUCUGAAAUCCAACAACCCUAUGCGGCCCUUUAAACCAGAUUCCCCGUACCGUGAGUGGUUAAAAAGAUAUUAUAUUGAUACUUAUAUAACCCAUAAUAAUAGCCUAAAUAAUUAUUAUAAAGUCCUAAUAACGUUACUAUAAUUAAUUAAAAGCUAUAUUAAAAAUAGCGUAGGCAUAGCUCACUUAUAACGAGUUUUCUUGAAAACCGGGCUUCGCUUGGAGCAGCGUUUCCGAACCGAAAGGCUUUUUUUCUCGAGGCUUCCUUUGGGUGCUAGGGGUUUUACCUAGACUUUAGGGGGCUUAAGGAGUUAGAGAGAGAACCUAAAGAGAGAAAGAAAAGGUUGAAAUGGUGUGGAAAUGAAGGCUGCCUCGGCCUCCUUUUAUAGCCGCAAGGCCUCGGAGUACACUAGGCGUACUUUGGAACUACACUGGGCGUAAGGGUUCGGUCGUACAACAUGUGUCGCGAAAGGGUUGGGUCAUCGUGGGCACUUCUGGACCUUGGAAAUCGAGUUCGCUGGGCGUACAGAGCUUCGUACACGAGGCGUAUCCGUACGCUGGGUGUCCGAUGCGAACGUUGGGCAUCCGAGGUGCGACGUGUCACCCAUCCGAAGCGAAGUGUGGGCAACAAGGGACGACUGGGAUCGCGCCACGUCAUCAAUCUCGCAACAUCUUCGCAAAUCGCAUACUCGAAUUCUAAAAUUCAUAACUUUUGCAUACGAGCUCCGUUUUCGACGUUCUUUAAAUCCAGACGCAGGCGGGACCAUACUCUACAACUUUUGUUUAGAUUUCGUCGGCUAAUUUUGACUUUAUUUUAAAAGUUAUAUUUUUAACAGGCCGGGACAAGAUUGGUCCGUUAAAAAUUCAGAACUCCUUCAUCCGACGUCCGUUAUUGUCUGUCUUUUUAUCGUUAUGCUACUAUUAACGAGAUCUUCAAUUCUCGUUUAGGUUGUGUUGGCUAAAUACCGCUUGAUCUAAUAUUCGAACUUCGGGCUGUACACUGCUAAGCCGAAACUUCGAAAAAUCAUAACUUCCUCAUACGAAGUCAGAUUCGGGCGUUCUUUUCAUGGACGCUCUCGGUUUAAUGUAUUCUACAAAUUCCGUUUAGAUCGCUACGGCUAAAAGAUGCUCUAUCAUAAAUUCACUAUUUAGAUCUCCCGGUGCCGUGUCGAUUCUGUCGCGAAACUUCGACAUGUCAUAACUCAUUCGUUAUAACUCGGAUUUCGGCGUUCCUUAUAUGUCCGAAAUCCUUGUCACGGCUACUACCACUUCAUGUAUUGAUAUCGGGUUUAUUCAAAACUUUAAUUUUGACGCUUAUUUUUAUUAUAUCUUUAUAAACAAAUAAAUAAACACAUAAUUCACAUAAUACUCAAAUAUCUCAUCUUUAUUACUUCGAAAAGAGUUACAAUAGUUAACCUAGCCUAUCACAUCAUCUAUUAAUGCUUAGCCCCGAAACAUGGGCGUUACAUUAUUGCUCCUCCAUCUAGGGUAAACACCCAGCCCGACUGAGAGCGCAGAUCAUCUCUUCCGGUCUGAAAACCGGUGUCACAAUAUCCUGUCACUCUCAAGUCUUCUCUCCCACCUAGGGUAAGUACCCAGUCCUUAGCCCUCUGCAAGUACUUAAGAAUGUUCUUUACUACAGUCCAGUGAGCUCUACCGGGGUUCCCUUGAUAUUGACUGUCCAUGCUCAAGGAAAAAGCCACAUCAGGGCGAGUACACGUCAUAGCGUACAUGAUUGAUCCAACAAUGGAGGCAUAUGGUACUUGACUUAUAUCCGCUAUCUUUUCAUCAGUUCUCCGACUCUGAGCCUUGCUCAGUUUGGUAUUGCUGUGGAUCAGUAAGUCACCUUUCUUGGAAUUCUCCAUGUUAAAACGUUUCAACACCUUAUCCAAACUCUUUGGAUUUCUCAUCAAAACAAAGAUUCCAUCUGUGAAAUGUUUGUUUCAAUCCAUAGAUGGAUUUCUCAAGCUUACACAUUCUAUUAGGGUACUUUGCAUUGACAAAACCAUCUGGAUGACACAUGUAAACAUCUUCAGCACCCUUUCCAUCAAGGAAAGCGGUUUUGACUACCAUUUUCCAUAUUUCAUAAUCAUGAAAUGCAGCUAUGGCUAACAUAACCCUUAUAGAUGUAAUCUUCGCUACUGAUGGAAAGGUCCCAUCAUAGUCUACUCCAUGAGUUUGAGUAAAGUAUUUCGCAACCAUUCGCGCCUUAUAUGUUUGUACUUUCCCAUCCAUGUCGGUCUUCUUCUUGAAGAUCCAUUUGCACCCGACCGUCUUACAACCUGGUAUGUUAUCAUCCAAGUUCCAAACUUGAUUGUGAUACAUGGACUGAAUCUCGCUGUCCAUCGCCUCUUUCCAUUUUGCAGACUCGGGGCCUGCCAUGGCUUCCUUAGGUUCAUCUAAAUUUAUCAAUGUACUAUCACUGAUAAACAUAUCAUCCUCAGUUUUUAUAUGAAAACCAUAUAACACAGGUGGAACACUAACUCUACCGGAACAUCUCAUAGGUACAAACUCGUCAAUCGGUUCAAAACGAGUUUCCUCCUCGGGUUGAACGCUAGUUAUUGAGGUUCCUUCAUCACUUAACUCUUGAAGCUCUUCAAAGUCAAUUUGCCUCCCACUGUCCUCUUGGAAUAUGAGUUCCCUCUCUUGCGGAAAACCCCUCUCCUGACAACGAAGACAACAUUGUCACUCAGUGUGUAGAAGAGAUACCCAAAGGACUUCUUUGGGUAGCCGAUGAAAACACGUCGCUCACUACGAGGUUCGAGAUUGUCAUGAGUCUCUCGUCUUACGAAAGCCUCGCAACCCUAAACUUUAAUAUGUGUAAACAAGGGAACCUUCCCUGUCCACAUAUUGUGAGGUGUUUUGGCAACCUUCUUAGUUGGUACUAGAUUAAGCAUAUGGGCGGCAGUCUCUAAGGCAUACCCCCAGAAUGAGAUAGGUAAAGAAGCUCGACUCAAAAUGUAACGAACCAUGUCCAACAAGGUUGGAUUGUGCCUCUCAGCCACACCAUUCAACUGCGGUGUCCUAGGUGGCGUCAACUGUGAAACAAUUGCACAUUCCUUAAGAUAGUCAUGGAACUCGAUACUAAGAUACUCACCACCUCGAUCGGAUCGAAGCAUCUUUAUCUUCCUGCCCAAUUGAUUCUCUAUUUCUUGCUUAAACUCUUUGAACUUUUGAAAGGCUUUUGGCUUAUGCUUGAUUAAGUAGAUGUAUUCAUAUUUGCUGUAAUCAUCAGUAAAAGUCACAUAGAAGCAAAUAGCAUCCCUUGUGGCAGAUCUGAAGGGUCCACACACAUCGGUGUGUACAAGAUCCAGCAGACCUUCAACCCUUUCACAAGUACCAGUGAAGGGUGACUUGGUCAUCUUUCCAAGCGAACAAGAUUUGCAAGUGUCAUCCGACUUCAAGUUGAAUGAAUCCAAAACUCCAUCCUUUUGGAGUUGGGCUAUGCGCUUCUUGUUGAGAUGCCCAAGAUGACAAUGCCACAAGCGUGCCUUGUCCAAAACAUUGGACGAAUCAAUAUUCAACACAUUAUUUCCUAAGUUAUCUACAACCAUCACAGUUUUAUAUAUACCAUCACAAGGCAAUGCUUUAAAAUAAGAUACACCAUUAUAGAAAGCAUUAAUAAAACCAAUUUCAUUAUCAAAUGAGAAUCUAAAACCUUGUUUAUACAAACCAUAAAAAGAAAUAAUAUUUCUUGCCAUAUCCGACGAGUAACAACAAUUAUUCAACUCUAAAUUUAACUCAAUACUAAGCAAUAAAGAUUAAACUCUAGUGUUGGUGACAGACGACACUUUCCUAUUCCCCAUGAUUAAGUUUAUCUUCCCGUGCUCCACAUCCCUACUUCCUUUUAGUCCCUGCAAAUCAUGAACAAAUGUGAAAUCCACAACCUGGAUCAAGGACCCAAGAAUUAGCAUGUGAUUAGUUAUUAGAUAGAAUAGUGUAAAUACCUUCAAAGGUGUGGUUUAUUUUCCCAUCCUUAAUGUCUUGCAAGUAUUUGGAGCAACUUCGUUUCCAGUUCUUUUAUUCAUGACAAUGGAAACACUCUGCUUUCUUUGGAUUGGUAGAGGGUUUAGCGGGACCAACUUUGAUUCCACUAGAAGAGGAUCCAUCAUGGGACUUUCCCUUAUGGCUCUUAGAAGGAGCCUUCCCCUUCUUUCCCUUUCCAUGUCCAAUUGCCAAAACAGGGGCAACAACAGUAGGAACGGGUACAACAACCUUGCCUUUCAAAUUACUUUAUGCAGUUCUUAGUAGCCCUUGAAGCUUGCUCAAAGUGACUUCCUCCUUAUUUAUAUGAUAAGUCAUACGAAACUAAUCCUAAAAGGGAGGCAAAGAAUGUAGGAUAAUAUUAUUGGCCAAAUAUGUGUCGAAUUUCACAUUCAUCUUCAAAAAGCGGUCCACAAACCUUUGCAUCUUUUACAAGUGGGUCGUGAUGGACUCUACAUCCUUCAUUUUGGUUGUAGUCAUGGAGGCAAUGAUCUCAUACCUUUCCUGCCAAACACUUUGAUGGUACCUUUCCAUCAAAUAUUGGUGCAUCUCGAAGGGCCAGAAGUCCUCAUAGGACUUUUGAAGCUCAACAGUCAAGGUAGCAAUCAUAAUGGAUGACACCUUUGUCGCGUCCCUCUCAUGAACCCCGUAUUCUUCAAUUUACUCGGGAGUAGCAGUUUGUUCAUCAAUCUCUUUCAACUCUUUAUUGAGGACAUAGUCUUUGUCCUUGUAGCGAAGGUCCAUACAAAUGUUUCGAAUCCAAUCGUUAAAGUUUGACCCAUCAAAGAUAGUUCUCCCAACCAAGUUCAUGAAGGAUAAUGAGCUAGAAGGGUUGGAGCCUGAAGCAUUGUUUGGGAUAGACAUCUGAAAAGAAUAAAGAACAAGUUUAGAUUAGAUAAGAAUCCUUAAUAUAACACCCAAAUGAAAUAUUAAGGCUAGGACCCAACACAAUAUUUCUCAAUUCAGAAGAGGGAUGCUGGAAUCCAAUUGCAAAAUAUUUGAAGGUAGGUAAAUGACGAUUUACCAAUUUCCACCAUGAAAAACAAAAUUGAUUAUUAAGUUUUUAAAUGAAUUGAAAUUCCUAGAUUAUUUGAGAUUCAUUGAACUUUUCAAUGGUAUGUCUUAGUCUCUAUUAUGCCCUUCAAGUUUGUAACUUGGAUAUCGAGGAUCACAAAUAAGGUGUGAAUAACCAUGUAAAUUGCUUGGUACUCUUGAUGUCACUAAUCACCUAAUCAAUACGCCGGUUCACUACACACACUCCACCGAUCUAUGAAAAGCAUCAUGCUACCCUUUGCCACCCUUGUUAGUCCCAAAUUAGUGUGCCGGUUAACCACACACGCUCCACUAAUGACUUGGAAAGGUGCAAAGUGCAAUUUCAUGGAAUAGCACCAUUUUCACAUUUUUCCUAAAGUAACUAAGAUUGGGAAUUUAUAAAAGUUUAGUUACUUUAUAAUUUCAUUAUACUUAUUAAUGAGGAUUUAUGUCCUAUCCUACCCGUUCAGCUAACGACCCUCCACCAGUCAAGUAAGCGGUGAGUGAGAGUGGACACCCAUUAAACCACCAUUUUAUAGGCAGUAUCCUUAUACCCCCUUCUUAUAGACCAGCUUCAUGAAUGAGGCCACCUAACAUUAAGACUGACUUGUCUUAUACAUACAUACAUACAUAUAUAUAUNUAUAAGUAUUAACUUUUAGUAUUAUAAUAGUAUAAGGGUUGAAUUGUAAACUUAUAAAAUUCUAAGGUUUGGAAUUAAAUGUUUCAUAAGUGAGACUUUACAAAUUUCAAAACUUUAGGGCAAGUUUUGUAACUCUUCAAAACUUUUGGUUUCCAUAACUUAUGAGUUUUAAUGUUCAUGAAUGAGACUUUUCAUAUUUCAUAACUUGAGGACAGAUUAUGAAACUCUCUUCAAGAACAAUUUAGAUCAAUUAUAACUUAAUCAAUUAUCAUAUAAUUUGUUAUUCAUCAAGUUGAUCUAAUCUAUAAUACAAAUAAUCAACUUAUUAUUUUAAAAUUUGACAAUUGUCCUUUAAUUGGAUAAAGAUAAUUGCUACCAUAUCAGAAAAAACAUUUUUAAUGAUACAAAAUAGUUUGUGGUAAUGAUCCUAAUUCAAUUAUGGCAAAAUACUCAAGAAAACUGUCAUCUGAUGAUCCAUCUCGUCGAAUCUGGCAAUGGACUCGUCGAGUUCCUCAUCUAAUUAUCCAACUCGUCGAGUCUAAUCAUAGGACUCGUCGAGUCCAGCAGUCGGAGUCCAAUAUUUCAAUUUUUCAGCUUUGAAAUAACACAAUAGCAUCAAUAUAAUAGAAAACAAACCUGGCUUUGAUACCACUAUCGGGUUUUGAGCACUAUAACACUCCUAUGGUGCAUAUGCAACCCUAGAUGCGUUAGAUAUAAGUUUUCUCUAAUUAUACAUGCAAUUUCAAAUUUCCAAAGCAUAAAUCCUAACUAGCAUGCAAUUGAAUACAUACAACAUAAAAACAAGUUAGAUGAAUACCUCUUGAUGUAGCUAGUAGUUCUUGGCUAUUAAAAGCUUUAGCACCUCAAAUGUGAAGCCUCUAAUGUGUCACAAACACCAAAUGCACACCAAAAUCAGUUAUGAUUCUUCACGAGGAUGCAUUGGCCGAUUUUAAGGGUUAAGGGGAUGCUUUUAUAGUGUGGCAAAGACUAGGGUUACAUCCAUGCAAACCCUAACUCACCAUGACCCUUCAUAUUUCUUAGGCAUUUUAGGUUUAAACCUUCAUGGACUAUCAUAUAAGUUUAGCUCAUCCUAAUCAACCAUGGAUCAUUUGCCUAAACUAUAAGUAUUAGUGAUUUACUUAAUCAGUCCCCAUAAAUUUAAUUAGUCUCUUUUGAUCACUAAAUUAAAUCCAAAUCAAUUCUUGAUCAAUAUUAAUUAAAUAUGAUUUCUCAAUUAAUAUAUUAUACUUAUAAUAUAUUAAUAAAUUACAAAUAACCUCAUCCUCAAAAGUCGAUCCUAUCAAAUUGCUCUAAUGAAGGCAACCCAAAAGGACCAUGCUACUAUUGGGUCAAGUACAUACCAAUUAUAGUUAUGGGCUUAGACACCUAAUCCAACAAAUUGGUCCAACCCUCCGGUGUUUCAUGUCUGACCCAUGUCUAUUUAUAUAGUGGUUGAAAAGUAUUGUUUAACACUUAUAAAACAAUAUCGCUCAUAAAUAUUUGCUAUAUAUAUUAGACUAAAAUCUAGUAAUAAUGAUACUAGGUUUCAUCGAAGGAAAAGACGAUUGUUAGAAGCAAAGAUUUGUCCGAGUUUCAAGCCAUCACUUUAACAAGUGAGUGCAUAGUUACUUUCAUCUGAUAUACAGAUACAAAGUAUUUAAUAUAAAUUAUGUCUUAUGUGUGCAUAUUAUUUGUGUUCUUGAUAUCGAUGAUGGAUGAACAAAAUAUACAUGCUUUAUUUGAUUUAACUGUAUAUGUAUUUAUACCUAUAAAAAUAUUGGGUAAAGUGGGCUAGAUGAAUGAUGAGAGAUGAAAGUUGAUAUAGAUGAACCUUGGUGGCGAUGGACUUAGAAAUAUAAAUUGGCAGCUAUGGACUUAGUGCCUUACAAAUGAAUGUUGGUAGAUAUGGAUUUAGUGCCUUAUAUAUAGAUAUUGGCAGCUAUGGACUUAGUGCCGAACAAAUAACCUCGUCAGCUAUGGGCUUAGUGCCUAAUAGAUAAACCCUGGCAGCUAUGGACUUAGUGCCUGAUAGAUAAACCCUUGGCAGCUAUGGACUUAGUACGAAAUAGAUAAACCCCGAAAGCUAUGGACUUAGUGCCUUACAAACGAACGUUGGCAACUAUGGAUUAGUGCCCUAUAAAUGGAUAUUGGAAGCUAUGGACUUAAUGCCAAACAAAUAACCUCGACAACUAUGGACUUAGUGUUUGUUAUAUAAACCCUGGCAGUGAUGGACUUCAUGCCUAUUCCUUAGGACAAUCCUUAGGAACAAAUGAGUGAAUGAUAUAUGAUUCUUGGGGUUGAUCCUUAAGAAAUAGAGAAGAUAAUGGGGAUGGGUAAUUGGGUUAGUUAUUUGGUGAUGAAACAUAAUAACUUAACUAUUGUGGGUUCAAAACCCUAUGUAUUCACCAGGUUUCCCAACCUAACCCACUCUGAUUAUUUGUAUCAUAGGUGUCAAUACGAACCUACAUUACACUAAGAGAUUAAAGGAGAUGUAGAUCACUAGUGUAAAUGAAUGUAUGAUCUAUUUAUGCUUAUGUUUUUGUAUUGACAAUGACAUCCCAAAGUUUUAAUAUUAAGAAAAUAAAUUUCUUUCGGAAAUGCUUUGAUAAUAUAUUUAUCAUGUUUUCUAGGAACAAAUUCCGUAAUAUUAUUCUUUAAAAUGAAUACUCUGAUUUUCAAAUAAGCAUAAAUAAAGUUUUUAAAAUGACCAUGAAUUUGGGGAUGUUACAGUUGGUAUCAGAGCAUUAGUUUAAGCGAACUAGGAAUUAGGAUUUGUUUCUAGACUUAAACAUAAAAUGCUAACUAAUGAUCGUGGGGAGUGUGUACAAUAUAUUUUAGGUAGUACACCUGAAUAGACACAAACACUGGCUUAAUUAGGGAAGAUGCCUAAAAUUCUUUUAUGUGCUAAAUGAUUUGUGAUGCUUUAUGAUGCCAUUAUUUGAUCGGAUCUAUGGUCUCUAUCUAUAUUCACAUCUCGAUACACUGAACAACUGCUUUGGUGUACAAAAUGUCAUGAUAAGGACUGACUCGUAGCGAACAGAGCAAAUGGAGGAAAUGAGAAGGCUUACGUUGGUGAAUGAUACCUAACAGAAGAUAUCGUAAGAGUGGUAUCUUGCCUUUAGAAUACGUCUAAUAAAAUAAUAUUACGUAUAGAGGAGUUCAAUACAUCCAAAUGUACAUAUUUGAUUGGCGAAAUGAUAAAACAAUUGGCGUAAUUCCUAAAGUUGUCCUAUCAUAUGGCGUUUCCACCACCAACCGAGUUGAAGAAGAAUUGAUGAUUGAAGAUACGCAUGGAAGGAGCCCUACUAGAGUCUCGGGAAAAUUUUGUGAUCGCUUGGACACAUUGUUAUGUGUUAAAAUGGUUUUUGUGAUAAUAACUUGGAGAACUGUGAGAAAAUACUUGGGACGAGUAUGAGUAGGUGUGAAACGUAGUAGAGGCCUAUACCACCAAAAGCAUAGGAUUCACACUUGUAUCACGGAAAAUCACAAGGUUACCAAGAAUGUAGUAAUUCAGUCCGUUUUGUUCAAGUAUGUCGUUACCAUCGUUUCGAUAAUGACUAAGAAGAUGAUUUUUAUUCCGACCCUAAUGGUCAUAUCAAAUCGAUUCCGAAUAAGAUAAGUAUGUUACCUGGAUCAGAGAACCAAGUUUGCUAUAGAAUUUGACUUAAGCCAGAAGAUUGAACUGAAAGAUAAUCGAAGCGGUCAACAUAAGUAUCGAGAUCACCAUUAAAGUAAGUAAGCUUGUAUCUAGAACGACUAAAUGCUAGAACUUGAUUAUAUCACAUAAGAACAUGAAGGAAGGUAUAUUCCAUUCUGUAAUUUGACUCUAAGAGACCUGAGUCUAACCAUGGAAUCAUAUGAUGAGAGGCCAUUAGAACAUGACCCACCGGCCUAUCAUGAUAAUCGAAGUAAAGAACUUCUCUUAAGUUAAGUAUGUUAAGAAGAAGAAGGAUUUUCCAAUAAAGAUUAAUUUUGUAACUCAAAGGUUACGAUUGAAGGUCCAACGCGAGAUAAAGAGCAGAUACUCAUUCAAGGGAACAUAUGAGUUACGGUUAUUACCUAGGAUGAAAAUAUAAUGUAUGGAGUCAUUAUACAAGCCAUGUCUCAUUGAUGAUUCCGGGACGUAAUCAUCCUAAGGGGGAGAUAAUUGUCACGCCCGUAGAUUCGGGCUAGUUAAUUUAGAGAUAAUAAGCAUCAAAAAUGACUUUUUGAUGGAAAGUUAUUUAUAAUAAAUAAUCUUAACUAAGAUAUAGUAUAUGUCACAAGAGUUCCGUACAUAUAAAGAAUGGUUAUGACCCGUCGAUGUGUUACGGCAAAACUGACACGACACUGGGAAUUGUAAAAAGUGAUUUUGAGAUAAAAUAAUUUUUAGCCUUAUAAAACUAAAAUAAAGUCGUAGUGUACGUUAAACGUAGAACAUGCAUAAAAAUAACGUCCAAAUCUGACUUCGUAUGAGGAAAUUAUGAUUUUUCUAAGAUUUAGCCUAGCAGUGCACAACCUGGAAAUCGAAUUUUAGAUUGAUUGAUUGAUUUUUUUUUCAUACACAACCUAAAUGAGAAUUGAAGAUCUCAUUAAUAGGAGUUCAACGAUAAAAGACAGUCGAAAACGGAGUCCGUAUGUAGAAGUUGUGAAUUUACACGGUCGUUAAACAAUAUAAUCUUCUCAUACCGUUAAAUUUAAAAUCGGUCGAGAAUUAGCCAAUGGAGUCAAAAGGAGAGUUGUAGAUCUUGUCAGUACCUACAUGUGGAUAUAAAGAACAUAAAAAACGGACUUGUAUGUGAAAGUUAUAGAUUUUAUAAGAUAAUUAGUUUUUGGAGUAAUUUGCGAGUGACACGUGGCACAAUCCUGUCCAUUGCUUCCUCCCCAUGCCUUGCCACCAGAUGGUGACAUGUUGCACACCAACACGACAAGUUGGAGGCCUAGAACUCGUCGAUUUGAGCCAAUUUCCAGUCUAUUAAUAGCAUGUGAGGUUCUCCCAUUUUCAUCACACCUCAAACCUUCUCUCUCUUUCUGUUUCUCUAACUUCUCUCUAAACCCCUCCCAACCCUUAGUACUUCCCAAGUGCUACAAGGCAUGUAUUAGAGCUCCAAACGGAUCCGAGAAGAAGAUCUUUCGGCUCGGAAGUUCUGCCUCCGCAGAGGCCGGUUCCGAGCCAAACUUCCUCGUAAGUGAGUUAUGCUUACCCUACUUUCAGUAUAGCUUAUGUUUAAGUUCUAUNNNNNNNNNNNNNNNNNNNNNNNNNNNNAUAUAUAUAUAUAUAUAUAUAUAUAUAUAUACACAUACACACACAGACACACACACACACACAUAUAUAUAUUUAUGUAUCAUCAAAUAUAAUAUACAAAGUGUUAUUAUAAUAUCUUUUAACUACUCGUGGGAAGGGGAAUCUGGUUUGAAGGGUCGUAUAGGGUUGUUGGAUUUCAGAAGUGCUAUAGUGCCAAAAUGGUCCUGCCCUCCGGUGUUUCCUGUCUGGCCCUUGUCUGUACAUAGUGGUUGAAAAGUAUUCUUCAACACUUAUAAAACAAUAUCGCUUGUAAAUAGUUGCUAUAAAUAUUAGACUAAAAUCUAGUAAUAAUGAUACUCGGUUUCGUCGAAGGAAAAGACGAUUGUUAGAAGCGAUGACCUGUCCGAGUUUCGAGUCAUCACUUUAACAAGUGACUACAUAGUUACUUUCAUCUUACACAUAUGUAUGAAGUAUCUAAUAUAAAUUACGUGCUAUUUGUGCAUAUUAUCUAUGUUCUUGAUAUCUAUGCUGGAUGUACAAAAUAUACAUGUUUUAUUUGAUUAAACGACAUAUGUAUUUUAUACCUAUAAAAAUAUUGGGUAAAGAUGGGUAGAUGAACGAUGAGAGAUGAAAGAUGAUAUAGAUGAACAUUGGCAGUUAUAGACUUAGUGCCAAAAAGACAAACCCCGACAGCUAUGGACUUAGUGCCUUAUGAAUACACAUUGGCAGAUAUGGACUUAGUGCCUUACAAAUGAACGUUGGUAGAUAUGGAUUUAGUGCCCUAUAUAUGGAUAUUGACAGGUAUGGACUUAGUUCCUAACAAAUAACCUCUACUGCUACGAAGUUACUGCAUGAUAGAUAAAACCUGGAAGCUAUGGACUUAUUUCCUAAUAGAUAAAACUCUAACAGCUAUGGACUUAGUGCCAAAUAUAUAAAUCCUGGCAGCUAUGGACUUAGAGCCUUACAAAUGAAUGUUGGCAGCUAUGGAUUUAGUGCCCUGUAAUUGGAUAUUGGCAGUUAUGGACAUAGUGCCUAACAAAUAACCUCGAAAACUAUGGACUUAGUGAGUGCCUAUUAUAUAAACCUUGGCAGCGAUGGACUUCAUGCCUAUUCCUUAGGACAAUCCUUAGGAAUGAAUGAGUGAAUGAUAGAUGAUUCUUAGGGUAGAUCCUUAAGAAAUAAAGAAGAUAAUGGAGAUGGGUAAUUGGGUUAAUUAUUUGAUGAUGAAACAUAAUAACUUAAUAAAUGUGGGUUGAAAACCCUAUCUACUCACCAGAUCUCCUAACCCGACCCACACAGAUUAUUUGUAUCACAUGUGUCAAUACGAAGCUACAUUACAUUGAGAGAUUAAAGGAGAUGUAGAUCACUAGUGUAAAUGAAUGUAAGACAUGUUUAUGCUUAUGUUUCUUUAAAAUGAAUGCUCUGAUUUUCAAAUAAGCAUAAAUAAAAUUUUUAAAAUAAUCGUGAAUUUGGGGAUGUCACACAGAACCCGAGCCUAACCCCUCACCAGCACCAGAACCACUAACCGGUCUUCCUCGAAGAGUAACCAUACUGAAAAUAGACCAUACAAACCAUAAGAAUAUGCAUCAACAUAUAGAUAUUAAGGAGUCUCACAUUCUAUAAGCUUCUUGGUUUCAUUGCAACUCUCAUUGACUCGAGUAAGGAUCCUUUGCUUCCAGUAGUACGCGCCCAUACUACCUUCCACAUCUAUCCGUACUUUCCUCAAGGAUCACUUUGAAUCGUCCAAUUCACUCAUUGACCAUACAUACACUCCUAAACAAGAUAAGGCUCCCAUCAGUAAAUCUUUACCUUGGUUUUCCUUGGGAAAUCACCACAUUCCUCUCCUCCAUCAGCUGCAAAAGGAACUCCCCUUAACCUCCUCUAACUAGCACAACAGAUAAUUCUUUGAAAUAAAGGUCUCACACUACAACGGUUGGACUCAAACAUGAGUUGCUCAAUAAAGUUAAACCUAACCUUCUAAAAUUAUUUAGUCUCAACAAUAUGUAACUUAGUAUAUUCGCUUACUAGUUAGCUGAAGCUACUGGGAACUCCUAAAAAGCACAAAGCAAGCAACAUUCGAGCAUUAUUAACCGGAACAAGCCUAACCUAAACAGGUCAUCCUACCAUUGAAUGAUCAGUACUAGCAUGCAAGUCUACAAGCUUAUAUAAUAGGCAUAUAAGGGCAUCUGUCAUAGCAUUCUAUCAUGCAAAUCCUGGGCACAUCAUUAGCCCUAACUAGCAUGUGAUUCACAGAUUCAUAAAUCAAAGUAUAUAAUAUAACAUGUAUGGGUAUUUUGGGAAAACUUACUUGAGCUUGGUCGAUUCCAUGCACCAUACCCUUUUUCUUUUCUUAGAUAACCCUUUUCUUUUCUUAGAUAACCCUUUUUAUAAAACAUUUAUCUUUGAAAAAAAAAUCUACAAAACCCUCAGUUUGAGUUUAAGCACACCCGAAAGUAUGUCCGAAUCCCUUAAAACUAAGGUUCUAAUACCAACUUGUAACAUCCUAAAAAUUUAGACUAAAAAUUUUGAUUUUUAUAUUAAUUGAAACCAUCAUCCAAAAAACAUCAUAAAACCCAUGGUGAAUCAAAGUGUAUCGAUAACAUCCAAGUAAAUAAGAGUAAUAUAAAAAUGUGAAACGAUGUGGUGUGUGCACUACAAUUAUCUUGGGCUAUUCCCCUUAGAACAAGAAGUACUUGAGACAGAAACUUAAAGCUGUAAGCACAAAGCUUAAUGAGUUCCCGAAGAUACCACAUACCAUACAUAUCAAACAUAUAAUGGGUCCCGCUCGGUAAACAGAUCUGUCAGCCAUCAGGCCCCACCUAGCAUUGGGCCAUGCCCGAUAUACAUAUAAACAUAUAAACAUAUAGUCGUACCACACAUGCAAUAAUCACAAAGAUAAAAACAUAGAGGAUAAUCAUUAGGCCCCACCCGGUAAACAUAUAAUGCAUAUCACAUGCAAGAGUCACGUAGACAACUAGCAUCCUAAACAUAACAAACCAUGGGCUGAAAUUGGUGCCUUUGACCUACUAAACACAAUUAGGAAACUCACCUCUAGCUGCUGGAUCUCUGAAGUAAAUCUCGGUUUGUUGGUCUUGAAAAAUCCCUGGGCUAACAUCAUUAAAUAAUAUCCAAUUAAUAAUUGGACCUCGGCCCAUAUUCAAGAAUCUAAGCUACUUGACUAAUUUCCAGGGUAAAAGAGCAUUUUACCAUUUUUGUUUUUUGGCCCAACACCAUGGCCCAACCUAACUACUCCAAAGGCCAAAAUUCCUUAAAUAGCAUCACAAGGCCCAACAGGGCCCAGCAUCCAAAUUGGGCCUAAAAAUCAUUAUGGACCUAAUCUAAGAAAGUCCAUAGUCUAUCCAUGGCCCAAAUUUAGAAGUCCAAUGGCCCAACAAGGCCCAAAUCCUAAAAGCCCAAAAUAUGGCUCAAAACCAAGGAAGUGAAACCAAAAUGAGUACGCAGGGCUUUCUCAGCUCGUACGCCUAUCGUACUCCUUCUGGGGCUAGUACGCGCAAAUUACCAGCUAGGUAUGCCCAACGUACUCCCCAUAUCACCAAUCCACUCCAUUAAGAACUUAAUCAGUUGAGACUUGUAGCCAAACUCUGUGAUUUGAUCUUAAAGGUGACUUACUACGUAAUAUUGGCAACUUUACAUUUAUGCAUGACUUAAUGGGACCGAACACUAAAAAAGAAGCUUAAUAAGGCUCUUAACACUUGCAUGGACUAAUAUCUUUCAUAAAGUUUGCAUUUUUAUGAACAAGGGACCUCCAUGGAGCUAUGAUGUAACAUCAAUGGCUUCUAGAGUAGAUCAAAAGCUUAACUUUAGCUCAAAAGACCCAAGUAAAGAACUUUAUACCUCAAAUGGCCUGCAAAGAUGAUGAUAAAUCUGGAUCUACAAGACCAAGCUAAUUCCAAGCAACCAGCAAGGGUUCUUCUUCUACUUCUUUCACUAAAACACCACAAAAUCUCACUUUCAAGAUCAAAAAUCACAAGAGGCACUUAGGGUUUUGUUUUUAGGGUAUAGGGUGAUGGAGGCUGAUUAAUAGAAUGCUCAAAGGUGGUUUAAGUUGUUUAAAUAGGGUGAAAACCCUAAAAAUUAGGGUUUGUCCAAUCCUUGUGUACACCCAACGUACUCCCACGUAUGCCCAACAUAUGUGGGUGAAUCUGCGAUAAUUCGUAGAGCUAGUACGAUAAGCGUACUCAUAGAGUGCGCCCAACGUACUAGCUAGGGACCGACAUGAAAUGAAUUAAACAUUAAGGGGCAAAAGGAAACAUACCAAAUGCGGGAGAAUAUUGAGUCAUGUUCUGUUGUGAUAUAUCGAAUAGGUACUUAUCUUGAUGUUGAAUAGUUUGUAAAUAGCGAGUGUCCACAUGACUUCAUUAUGUAAUGUAUUUACUUGGCACCUUGUCGAUUCGCAAUGUAAUGUCAAGUCCUAGUAUUUUUUGUUUCUAUGAGUACCCUAGAAAUAGGGUAGGUACAUUAGAGAGUUGUAACAUCUUUUGCACACUUGUACGCUUUGAGCUUUCUCUCGUAAGCGAUUCUUUUGUACUCAUUCCAGAAUAUAAUUGAGCUGAAACCAGAUCAUUUUUAGAUAAUUGUGUUAAUUUUACUCUUAUUUUACCAUCGAUUGAUUAGAACGUAAUUCAAAAGGAACCAUGAAACCAUUAUAUUUUCAAGCAUUAGAGCUUAUUCUUUAUCGAAAAAAAUCUAAAAGUAUCUAAAUUCGUAACUUUUUUUUCUUUUGUCUAUUGAUAUUAAAUUUGAUAUAUAUAUAUAUAUAUAUAUAUAUAUAUAUAUAUAUANNNNNNNNNNNNNNNNNNNNNNNNNNNNNNNNNNNNNNNNNNNNNNNNNNNNNNNNNNNNNNNNNNNNNNNNNNNNNNNNNNNNNNNNNNNNNNNNNNNNNNNNNNNNNNNNNNNNNNNNNNNNNNNNNNNNNNNNNNNNNNNNNNNNNNNNNNNNNNNNNNNNNNNNNNNNNNNNNNNNNNNNNNNNNNNNNNNNNNNNNNNNNNNNNNNNNNNNNNNNNNNNNNNNNNNNNNNNNNNNNNNNNNNNNNNNNNNNNNNNNNNNNNNNNNNNNNNNNNNNNNNNNNNNNNNNNNNNNNNNNNNNNNNNNNNNNNNNNNNNNNNNNNNNNNNNNNNNNNNNNNNNNNNNNNNNNNNNNNNNNNNNNNNNNNNNNNNNNNNNNNNNNNNNNNNNNNNNNNNNNNNNNNNNNNNNNNNNNNNNNNNNNNNNNNNNNNNNNNNNNNNNNNNNAUAUAUUAACAAUCUUUUGCGAACCUAUAUUUUCCAGCCAACCACUUUCAAAUUGUGAACUCUUUUGUAUUAUAUUUUUUUCCCACAAAAUUGACAUAAAGUACCAAAUCGGUCCUAUAGAAGCUUAUUCGCAAAAAAAAAUCAUAAAAGAAAAUAUGGAUAUAAGACAAGUGCCUUUGUGCAUGUUUUACGAACAUUAUGAAUUUCUAAUGUUUAUGCACAUAUGCACCUCUGGUAUAUGUAUAUUUUUUUGCAAGAUUUCUUUUUUCAAAUAAGUUUUUAUAGGAAGGAUUUGGUGUUUUACUUUUUUGAAAAAAAAAAAUAUGACACAAAAAAGUUCGGAUUUUAAGAGUGGUUCGGAGGAAAAUGUGGGUUCACAAAAGAUUCUUAGUAUAUAUCAAGAUUGCAGAAAUCGGGAUUAAUUGUAGAUUAAUCGUUUGACGUUUUCCAACCGUCUAGGAUUAGACGGUCUUGACGGUCUUGGCGGUCAACGAUGGUCAACAGAAAUCAAAAUAAGUCAAAGGUCAAAGGUGGUCAAAAUUAGAAAAAAGCUACAAAAAUUUUCCAAAAAAUUGAAACCUAAUUAAAAAAAGGCUCCGAUUUUUUUUUUUCCAAAAAACGAACCUUAAUAUCGCAUUUGGUAGUCGCCGUUUCGGUGUUAUGUGUCUUCUCUCUCAAACGUUGAAGCACCCCAUGAAGGUUACACCGGCGAUACAACUGAAGCCGAUACGACGAACCUUCUCAUUAGUGAUUUCACCCAAAAAAAUGUUGAGUUGGUAUUUCUCUCAUCUGUUUUUUGAGUUUUUCCACACAAAAGCAUAUGUUUUCGUGUUGUAGUAUGGGUUUGUGAUAGGAUUCAAAGAUCGAGUUAAAAAAUUGAAGGAGAUGGUGCUCAAAGAUUAUGUCGGUGAUGAAUGUUUGGUUGUAGCUUGGUAACAAAGCUCUGCCAUGAUCCCGAUAUUAAAGGUAAUCAAAUUCCUUUCUUCUUUUAUACAAGAUCUUUCCCUUUUUUAUUAUAGUUUUCUCAUUUUAACAUAAAAGUUCAAUACAAACGUCUACUUCGCUACUAUCUCACAAAAUCUUGAAUUUCAAAUCGUCAUAAAAUAUUUACUUGGGGAAAAGGAAACUGAUUUUGUUAAUGAUGUUGAUGCAAUCAAUACAUGGGGAAGCUUUUGAAUAAAAAUAAAUCUAAAAUAGUUUUAGUACUUGAUGAUGUAUGGGACGAUUCCAUUAUUAAAGGCUUCAAGUUCAAUCUACCUAGAUACAAGAUUCUGGCUAUGGCUACAUCUAGGACCUCCUUUACACAAUUUAGUACAUAUCAAUUGCAACUUCUGAACGACCAUGAUGCCGCCAAGCUGUUUAGUUAUGCUGCAGUUUCAAAAAAAAAGAAAUGAAGAUAUAACAGAUGAUCUUUUUGACAAGGUACACCGAACCCCUUUUAAGUAAAACUGAACUUUAAUUACAUGAUGCAUGCUCCUUUUCUGAUUGACUAUAAAUCGGAUUGACCCAGAAAUUCUUGCUAACCAAUAUAAUUUGUAUGUAGUUGCUCAUGUCACUGAGUUAUUGCGAGAAACAUCCGGUAACCCUUAGUGUGAUUAGUGGUUUGCUAAAGGGGAAAACAAGGUUUCAGGUCCAUAGCAAUCUGUUUUGGAUUUGCAUUAGUCUAUAGCAAGGUUUUGAAUCAAAGAACGAGGAACAAGUGUUUGAAACAAUGAAUAUGAGUCGGGAGUUCACAUAUUGGAAGAACUUGAAGAUUAGAAAGAAUAUGGACAUUUACAUAUAUGAAAAUGUGUGUUAUAAUUAUUAUUGAACUUAUUUUGGGUUUAUAGUAUGAUGGAUCAUGACUUAAAUGUUUAAUUACUAGUUAUGACAUUUUUUNNNNNNNNNNNNNNNNNNNNNNNNNNNNNNNNNNNNNNNNNNNNNNNNNNNNNNNNNNNNNNNNNNNNNNNNNNNNNNNNNNNNNNNNNNNNNNNNNNNNNNNNNNNNNNNNNNNNNNNNNNNNNNNNNNNNNNNNNNNNNNNNNNNNNNNNNNNNNNNNNNNNNNNNNNNNNNNNNNNNNNNNNNNNNNNNNNNNNNNNNNNNNNNNNNNNNNNNNNNNNNNNNNNNNNNNNNNNNNNNNNNNNNNNNNNNNNNNNNNNNNNNNNNNNNNNNNNNNNNNNNNNNNNNNNNNNNNNNNNNNNNNNNNNNNNNNNNNNNNNNNNNNNNNNNNNNNNNNNNNNNNNNNNNNNNNNNNNNNNNNNNNNNNNNNNNNNNNNNNNNNNNNNNNNNNNNNNNNNNNNNNNNNNNNNNNNNNNNNNNNNNNNNNNNNNNNNNNNNNNNNNNNNNNNNNNNNNNNNNNNNNNNNNNNNNNNNNNNNNNNNNNNNNNNNNNNNNNNNNNNNNNNNNNNNNNNNNNNNNNNNNNNNNNNNNNNNNNNNNNNNNNNNNNNNNNNNNNNNNNUUCGUGAUCAAUCCCUGUUGAGACCGAUUAAUCUCUUAACCUCAGUCGACCGUCGAACGAUUUCUGCAACCUUACUAUAUAUAGGGAUAGGUUAAUGUGAGACCACUAUAUUUUGUGAGACGGGGAGACGUAAUCAUUGCCACUUAUUUUAUAGAUAAAAAUACAUUUUUAAAAUGCAAAAUAAUUGAAAAUUUCGAAUUUUUUUAAAUAUUAUUUUCGUCAUUUAUAUUUACCAAAAUAAAAAUAAAAAAAUUAUCGUUUUUUUGAAAUAUCUAUGAAAUAUUCUAGUAUAAUAUUAGAAUAUUUUAUAUAUCUGUCGAAUCUAAUAAAAUGCUAGAAUAUUUCUAAUAUUCUAAAAAUCAAAUUACAUUAUUUACAAUGUAUUAUUCUAUUAGAAUAUUUCACAUAUUUAAAAAACCAUAAUUUUUAUUUAUUUAUUUAUUAUUUUUUUAGGUAAAUAAAAUGACGAAAAUAAUAAUAAUUAUUUUUUUUUUUGGAUUUUUCCUAGUAUUUUUCAUUUUAAAUUUAUUUUUAGAUUNNNNNNNNNNNNNNNNNNNNNNNNNNNNNNNNNNNNNNNNNNNNNNNNNNNNNNNNNNNNNNNNNNNNNNNNNNNUUUAUAUAUAUAUAUAUAUAUAAGGGAUAAGAUUUUUUUUGAAAAAUUAAAUUUUUUUUUAAGAAAUUGACUGUUGCCUCUUACUUGCUUUCUGCUGGGCAUUGUCAAUGUGGUCAUGACCACAAUUUAUCACGACCAUGACCACCACAACGCGCCGAGAUGGUGUGGACGAUCAUGGUGACCUUCGACGUUGGCAACAUAGUCCCUUCCCAUAAUGUGUAUUUCGUAGAGCUAUAGCAACUUAUUUGAUCCAAAUGAAUAUUCAAGUUUUUAAGUGAUGAUAUGAAAUUAGAGUAGGGUUGAAUUUCUAUUUAUUGUUAUGGGUUUAUAAAACUAUUAUGAUUUGAAUAUUUCUUUUAGACAAUAUUUUGUUAUGAUUUGAUAUGUAUUAGUUUGAACGAUAUGUAUUAGCUUGAAGCAUAUUAAAUUUGGUUUAAAUAACUGUUACAGAAGAUUUUUAAUAAUGUGGUUAUUAUUAUUUGUUGAUGUGGGUAUCAAACCGCGCCAACAAAUAUCGCAUCAUAAAAUAACAUUAUAUGUUGAUGUGGUUCAACAACUGCAUUAGAAAACGUUUCAAACCGUCUGAUAAAAUAUCCGGGUGAAAUAUACAAGUUGCAUAAAAAAUUAAGAACCACUCUAUUAAACAAUAUCACAAAAAAUAUAAAAGAAUCCUAUUAAAAUAUAGCACCAAAAAAUAGCACACAUCGCACCAAAAAGUGAAAAACACAAUGUUAAACAAUAGCACCAAAAAAUAGAACCUACACUGUUAAAAAUAACAAAUCAUUAAACAAAUUACCACUAAAACAAAUACUAAAAAUAGAACCUACACUGUUAAAAAUAACAAAUCAUUAAACAAAUUACCACUAAAACAAAUACUGUUCUGUUAAAUAAAAACCUCACAAGUACACAAAAAAACCAUAAUUUCUAAUUUACUGUUUAGUUACACUAAAACACAAAAGAAGCUCCAUCAUCAAUUAAAAUAAGAAUUUAAUACUGCAAAAGAUCCUUAUUCUUAGAGAGUUAUUUUUUGACCAUCAUUCAUCAUGUCAAUUAAAUGCGGUAUUAUUUCUAAGACCAUAUCUUCAAGUUCAUCAACCAAAGCAAACUUUUUCUUGUUCCAAAACUGCAAACAAACAAAUUAUACAUGUGUAUACAACUAAAUAGAAAAUUUGAUAUUUUAAAUAUAUGCAAAAACAGUUAUUGUAUUGUGUAAAUCAUGUUGAAUGGUCUUAAUAAACUGUUGCAUAUGUUUAAUUACUAUAUAUCCACAUUCCCAACCAACUUUUUGUUCGUAGCACUGUAUUUAAUUCACGAUUAAAUAUUUCAAACCACUUGAAAUAAAUUGAUAAAAAAAUAAUAGAAAACAUAUAUUUAUCGUUUCCCACUUAUUAAAUUGUCUUGGGAAACCUUUAUCAGUUCAAGAAGCAAAUAGGCAUUUGUUCUUUUUUUACCAAUUAAAGAAUCUCUAAUAUAAGCUGGUUUGCUACUUAGACAUAAGAUAAAAGCACCCAAUGCUUAAUACAUAAAUACAAAUUACAGAACAAGUAAGCAUGUAUGUGUAGUGUUUAUAUUUAUGGGUAUGUACUAUGGAAAAUAAUUACCAUUGUAAAUAUGGAGCAAGAAAAUAUUCUUUGCCUUCAUGAUACGAAAAUACUUCUUCGAUAUGUCCGUCGUUAGUUCAUGUAAGUCUUCAAGACUGUUAUGUGAUGCUCUUGACCCAUUUUGGAUCUUGGCAAGUCUUCAAGACCGUUACAUGAUGCUCUAGACCCAUCUUGGAUCUCUACAGGUGUCCAACAUCACUACUUGACGCUCUUAGCUAUAUAGAUAUUUGAAUCUAUGCAUAUUUUGGUCCCUUUUACGAAUUUGAGUUGGAGUAAGGAAAGUUUCGGGUAUAUAAGGUGGAUCUUUGGCUCUUCUUUACCUAUUGUGGUACAAAGAACUAGAAUUCAUCAUCAAUAUUCCGUAUACAUUGGUAACACUAUGUUUUUACAUCUUACCAAUUGACAGUAACUUAGGUGUAACUGUAAGGAUUCCAUUAUCAUCUAUUUCGAAUAAAUCAUCUACUACGAUGCUCCCUCAGAAGGGGUGGUAUUCCAUAAACUGCAAACAUUACCAACAAAAUGUUAUUAGUGAAUUUAGAUUGUACACCUUGGCACAUAGUGUUAUACUUCGAAGAUUAGUUCUUUUUGUUGUAACAAACUCCAUCGUUACUUGAUGUAAGUCUUCAAGAUGGUUACGUGAUGCUCUUGACCCAUUUUGGAUCUCUACAAGCCUUCAUGACCGUUACGUGAUGUUCUGAACCCAUUUUGGAUCUCUGUAAGUAUGCAAGAUUGUUACUUGAUGCUCUAAGCUUUGUACAUAUUGGAAUUUAUGCAUGUUUGGUACCUUUCAUAUAUUUGACUUGGAGUUUGGAAAGCUCCGAGUAUAUAAGGUGAAUCUCUGGCUCUUCUUGACCCAUUGUGGUACAAAGAACUAGACUUCAUCAUCAAUCUUUCAUAUAUUCAUAACACUAUGUUUUUCUAACUUACCGAUGGAUAGUCACUUAGGUGUAACUAUGAGGAACCAUUAUAAUAUAUUUAGAAUCAAUCAUCUACUAUGACACUCCCUCGGGAGUAUGCGAUAUUACAUAACUUGCAAAUAUAUCUAACAAAAUGUUAUUAGUGAAUUUAGAUUGUUCACCUUGGUACACGAUGAUAUACCUAGAAGAUUGUUUUUUUUUUUUUUUUUUUGUUGAAAAAUCUUCAUUGUUACUUGAUGUAAGUCUUCAAGACUGUUACUUGAUGCUCUUAACCCAUUUUAGAUCUCUGCAAGUCUUCAAGACCAUUACUUGAUGAUCUACACCCAUUUUGGAUCUCUAUAAGUGUCCAAGAUUGUUACUUGACGCUCUUAGCUUUGUAGAUACUGGAACCUAUGCAUGUUUUAGUUCAUUUUAUGGAUUUUAGUUGAAGUUUGGAAAGCUCUGGGUAUAUAAGUUGGAUCUCUUGCUCUUCUUGACACAUUGUGGUACUAAGAACUAGACUUCAUCGUCAAAAUUCCGUAUAUAUUGGUAACAUUAUGUUUUUCUUUUUUACCAUUUGAUAGUAACGUAGGUGUAACUAUGAGGAUCCCAUUAUCAUCCAUUUUGAAUCAAUCCUCUACUACAACACUCCCACGAGAACAAAUAGUAUUCCGUAAAUUGCAAACAUUCCCAAACAAAUGUUAUUAAUGAAUUUAGAUCAUUUACCUUGGUACACGAUGAUAUACCUGGAAGAUUGGUUCUUUUUUGUCGUAAUAUAUCAAUCAUUACUAGAUGUAAGUCUUCAAGACUGUUACGUGAUGCUCUGGACCCAUUUUAGAUCUCUGCAAGUCUUCAAGAAUAUUACUUGAUGUAAGUCUUCAAAGAACUAGACUUAGCUUUGAUGAUUUUUUCACCAUAGACAAUACAUUAACUAUAACUGUAAAAAUUAAAAAAAAAUUGUUAUUUGAUCUUGUUUAAAUUAGAAAAUUAAAAUACUAAAAAAAGAAAAAAAAAUACAAAACUAUUCUCUUUAAUAUAGAACUCUAUCAAAAACUCAAUCGGUGUGAUCCAUUAACGAAUAACCUUAUCCGUAGAUAAAUAUUAAAAUUGAAUGGUUGAUAAUUAGUAUCCUAUAAAUUUUUUAAUGCAUUUUUUUAUUUGAUGAUGAGAUUUCAUGGGGACUAUUUAUAGAUGCAUUUUUCCUUUUUUUUGGUGCAAUUUCUUUUUCUAUUUUUUGAUGCAUUUUUUAUUUGGUGUGUUUUUUGUUGUGUUUUUAAUGCGUUUUCUAAUUUUCGAGGUGGUUUCUAUUAUCUUGAAAAAUUGACUUUUUUUGGUUAAGAGAAACUUCAUCGUCGUUUUUUAGGUUUAAGAGUGUUUUUUGUAUCAAAAGAGUCAUUUUUUCACCCUUUGUCUCAAUACCAAAUGACAAUGAGAUGAUAUUAAUUAGCAACAAUUCUUUUACCAUUUUCAUAGUUGUACUACAUAACUUUGUGACCAUAACUUCAACCCAUAUGGGUGUGAGCAAUGGCGGAGCCACGUUGGGGCCAGAGGGAGCCCAGGCCCACCCUCAGAUUAUUAAUUUUUUUUUUUGUUUUUUUUACUAGCCCAAAUAGCCAGGCCCACUCUCGUCGCUUUCAUUAGUCUGAACCCCAAAUCUCAUUAGAUCAAAUUAGCGGGAAAUUAGAUAGAGAAAAAGUGUGAUCAAGCAAGUAAGACAACCAGACAUCGUCUUCUAAAUUUCUAAUUCUCUUAAUUGAAGUUUGCGAUCGAGCAAGCAAGCAAAGCAGCAGGUUAUUGACUUAUUGUAUGUAAAUAUUUUAUAUUUUCAAAGAAUUUAGGGGUAUACUUUUGUUGUAUAUGUCGACAGCAAAGCAAUUGGGAUACCGUUAAUUUGUUUAUUUAGAAUUGGAGUAGAUACGAUUCCUAUGAUCCUAUUAUUUAUUGUAUAAAUUAUGUUAUUUAGAUUAUGGGAAAAGAUAUAGCAACCGAUCCCCACCAUUUGUUUAUUUAAUUCCUUUUGUUGCACACUUUCAUACAGUACACUUGCCCAUGCUGUGAAAAGAGAAAGUCACAACUCACAGUGUGAAUAUACUUAUCUUUUAAUAAGUUAUUAGGAACACCCUAAAAAAAUUUCUUGGCUUCGCCCUUGGGUGUGGGCAACAAGAUGCAACAUCAAGUUGUGACAUCUCACAUGCCACAUAAGCAAAUAGUGUUAUAACACCAAGUGGGGAAAUGAGCAACAAGAUGUAACACCAAAUUUUUGAGAAUAAAUAUGUUUUAUUUAUUUAUUUAUUUUUUGUUUUGACUGUUGACAACGGCUAAAAAGAGGGCAACGUUCGUAUUUUUACUCGUUGUUGUAGGUUGUAACGGCAACAAGAAGCUCCAUGACAAGAUGCAACUUAAUGCCAGGGUGGUGUACAACAAGAUGCAAGGCCGUUGUGGGCGUCCACCUCAGCCACAACGAGCAAAUCUUGUACCCACACCGUAUGCUCUAAUGCAUAGUUAUGUGGUGCAACUAUAAAAAUAGCAAAGGAGUUGGUGCUAUUUGUUGUCAUCUCAUUCCCACUUGGUGUUGACACAUACGGUGAAAUAAUGAAAAUUGUUUCCAAAAAGAACUCUUAAAACUACCAAGAAGACGAUGGAGUUUGUUCAAACCAAAAACAAACAAUCUUUCAUUGAUAUCAUCGAGGAGAACAACGAGUCCGUUGAAAUAAAUUGAUAAACAUUUGAUAGUGCGAUUAUUUGAUCUUUUGGUGCGUUUGUUUAUUUUGAUCUUUUUGUGCUAUUUCUGAAAAUUUUAAUGUGAUUUAUCAUUUGAUGUGGUUAUAGUUAUUUUUUUAAUGCUGUUCGAUUUAAUUUUUUUUAGGGAGGUGUCUUGAUUUGUUGGUGUUGUUUGCUACGUUAGAAGUACGCUACCUUUUUUAAAUAUGCAUUGUCUUUUUUGUUAACACAAGAAGUAAAAUUCUUUACUAAUAUGUUAUUCAAUGCACACCACAAGUAAAAGUUUUUACUGAUACAUUUAAUGUUAUUUAAUGUUUCACUUAAAACAGAUAUUCUAAUUUUAUUAGAUUAUUACUCUAUCAACGGAUAGUAUUAUAGAAACAUUGUAAUUAUCAAAACAAAAGGACAAUAUUGUUAGUAAUCUAUCAAUGGAUAGUAUUUCAUAUAAGAAUCAUGUAACCAUAGUAAUAGAAAUGCAAAAGAAAUCAUUCAUACACUUAAUCAACAUAUGUCCAUUCGAUGUUAGAUCGUACGAAUGUUGUCCGUUCAAUAUUAUCAUAAUUACCCGGUUCAAUAACGCACGAAAAUUGUGGUAGAUACUUAAUAUGGUCGUAUUCUUCCUUGUCAACGACAUUAUCAACACCAAGAAUAUGUUGUUUACCUUGCAAGAUGUUGUGCUCUUUUUGUUUCCUCGGGUUUUUGAUAAAGAAAACUUGUGUGACAUGUUUUACGAGAAUGAAUGGUUCAGAUGCAUAACCAUUAGUUGUAAGGCCGACAAGUGUAAAAUCAUCUUUGUCAACUAGAACACAUGUAUGGUUAUUCACUACAUUUGAACACAAGAAUAACGAAGUCAUAAUAGUUCAAAUCCCAAUUUUUUUGUAUAACACCGUAAGAAGAAUCUUUGGCUAUUCUUAUCAAAGUAUAAUGAUCUCGUCUGUCGAGUUCGGUAGUUGAUGCUAUCAUUAGAACUCCACUAUUCUGCAUUGUAUUUUUUUAAUCUUGAUCUUUGGUGUAAAACGUAUAAUCGUUAAUGUUGUACCCUUGAUAAGAUUUAACUCUACAAUCUAGCCCAUGUCCCAACAUUUUCACAUUUUCGUCAACAUCAUUUUCUGCUACCUUCUUGUUCAGCCAUCUCGAAAACUCUUCGUUAUGAUUGUUUAUGCACCACAUGUGUUCCUUACCAGGGUAUUUCGACUUUAACAUGUCAAUGUAUUCAUCAACAUAUUGAGUAAGACAUUUAAGGUGUUUUAGGACCACUAAAUUUGCAACUUGUAACUCUUCAUGAGUUGGAAUGGUUAUUUUCAAAUCGACUCCUCCCUUACCUUCAAGUCGACCCGAAUGAUGAGUUAUAGGAACACCAACACUUUUGAAAUCUUUCAUAUAGAGUAUAAAAAACAAAUUAUUAUAUUACAUGUAAUAUAUUGUAAAUUAUUAUAAGUAUAAUAUACUAUUAGUAGGAUUACCUUGGCAGAACUCAAUCACCUUUUUAGAAGUAUACCCUUCAACAAUACUCCCCUCAGACCCAUUAUGGUUUCUAACAUAACCUUUGAGGAUACCCAUAUACCUUUUAAAAAGCUAUAUGUAGUGUAGGAUUACAAGACCACAAACCUUAAUCUCUUGCAUGAUAUGAGAUAUUAGGUGAACCAUUAUAUCAACAAAUGAGGGUGGAAAAUGCAUCUCUAGUUCACAAGGUGUAACAUAAACGUCUUUCUCCCAUUGAUCCAAAUAUUCUACAUCAAUAUCCUUUGAGUGAAUGUUGUUAAAAAACAAACAAUGAUUUGUGAUAGAAUGUCAGAUAUCAUCUUGUAAAAUUCCACGAAUUGCACACGAAGCAAUUUAUAGUCUUUCAUCGACAAAAAUCUUUUAAUGUUUGCAGAAUAAGUUGAAAGAUCCUUAAUAUCAUGUAAACAUUGACAAAACUUUAUUUUUUUUCUUCUUUUGAUGUAGUAUAACAAGCAAGUGAGAGAUAAAUACAGUUGGCUAUCUAUUCGAUGGCAAGAUCUUCACGUAUCUUGUAAUAUCCUGAUGAUGAAGUAUUUCUAAUUUUAACGCUAAGUAUGAAGAUUACUUGUAUUUUAGCCGUUGUGUAUGAGAAGUGUUGCAAAAUGGCCCACAAUGGCAUUUUUGUAAAUAAUGGGCGGAGCCCACAAACGUUGGGCGUACACGCUAGAACAUCAAACCUUAAUUUUUAGGGUUUAUACCAUAUUUAAACAUCCUUAAGUCCUAAGUCUCGUCCCUUCCAUCAUCCUCGAACCUCAUUUCGACCCUUUUUGCAAACCCUAAUCCAUUUGAGAGCAUUUGUGAUCCUUUUUAGUGUAUUUUGGCGACCUUGAAGGAGGAAGGAAGAAUAGAAGACCAUCUUAUAGAAGUGGGACACUUUGGAUCCAGAAUCACAUCAUCAUUUGGAGGUAAAAAGCUAUGGACUUGGUUAAAUGUUGAUUAGAUCUUGUUUAGUCAUGAAAUGGUAUUCUUUUAGUUCCAUAAGCUUGGUAUUAUGAGUAUGGAUUACUCUAAUGCAUAUAAGCUAUCCUUUCAAACGUUUUGGAGCAUUUAGAACCAUUAAAAUGCAAUGUUGAUUGUUAAUUUCCUUCCAUGCAUGGCUUACAAGGUCUUAAUGGGUUAAGUAGUUAGGGUUUUUGUUAUUGGGUACUUUCUAGCCAUGCUAUACCAUAAAGUUAGAAACUUUAUGGUUAAGGAUAUGAGUUGAAGUCUGGAUCUCGAAUAUGAGUAAAAGAGAUUAUAGAUUGUUGAAGCAAGAAGCGACCCUCUUGAACCUCCAUCCGAAGUCUCCACUCUACCGCAAUGUUGCUGCCUCUACCGUAACUAGAAGUAAAGAUAUCAUCCGCAACCUACUUUCAGAAUAAAGACUUAGCAUUUUUAACUUAUAUACUUACUUUGUAUUGUCCAGUGUUCCUUGCAUGGACACUUCUUUGUCUUUGUUUAUUUCACUGUAAUGUAUGUGGAGCUCUACAACUAGAGCCUCCCGCUUCAGUUUGCAAUACACAUCUAUCACUCAUCUUAUCUUGUCUAUCAUUACUCUUUUACUAUUAAAAUCUUGCUGAACUUAAAUAUCUUAUCUAAAGAUCAUAAUCUCUCCUCGGAGCAAGUCACUCUUGACAUAAUCACAUUAAGUUGAUCACACUUAUUAACUUGGUUUGAUUGCAAUCCUUGUUACGAAUCAGUUUAAGUGUUUACUUGAUAUAAUACUUGUUGUCAUUUAUAUAUCCUUAUAUUUCCACAUCUAAUUAUCUAGCUCUCUAACUCUAACUUAUUAUUAUUGUUGAGAUUUAUGAUCCUUUGAGUUAAACUUAUUCCACAAUAUAACUUGUUCUAACGUUUGUUCAAGUGUGUUUCUCAAGUUUUUCUCUCAACAAUUAGUAUCAGAGCCAAAGUGGUUGCUUUUUGAAGAAGAACUCUGAUUUUAAAAGACCUUCUAUACCACUGAAGCUCAUUUCUCUUUUAAAUAAAAAAAAAAACUACAAAAUCUUUUCAAAACAAGGAAAUAUGGCACAAGCAUUAUGACUCAAUGUUUCCAACAGUGUUGGAGGUUCGAAUAGAGCUCCAAUAUUGGUGGUAAAUGAGUAUCAUCACCGGUCCCAAAUAAUGGAGAGAUAUUUAAGAAGACUUGGACGAGAUGUAUGGAGAUCUGUAGAAGAAGGACCUCAUGUCCCUAUUCUUACUCUAGUUCAAAUUGACGGUGCACAAGCCAGACUUGGUCAAGGCCAACCUGCAUUGAAUCAUCCCAGUAAGGAUGAUCUCGAUAAAAUGGAAAAUGAUGCAAUCGCCUUUUAUGAAAUAUCCUGCGGAGUUGCUCCUGACAACUUCGACAUUAUCAUCAAUUGCAAGUCUGCAAAAGAGAUCUGGGGUGUUCUCAAGAACCUGUAUGAAGGUUCUGAGCAGGUACAUGAUAAGAAGCACACCACCACACUCAACGAGUUCAAUAAUUUCAAAGCUCAUGCGGGUGAAAGUCUUGAGGACUCUUUCAAGAGACUCAACCUCAUUGUUACCAAGUUGUCAAACGCUGACACUAUUCGCAGCAAACAUGAAACCACUCUUCAAUUUCUCAAUGGUUUAGGUAAACAUUGGACUACAACAAAG